rnacentral:lncRNA from 1 species
UAAGUGUGUGCGCUCCAGUGAAGUUGAUAAGAUACCGGGCUUUCCUGCCGACCCCUGCUUGUCUUUGGAUUAGAUCUGUUUCACUGAUACCAAUUUUGUGUUUGCCUAAGCGAAUAUCAACAAGUAUUUAAUCGUACUAGUCUUAUCUUGAACAGAAAUCAUGGGAGCAAUGGAACUGCAUUUUCUGUUAUGAUUCUGCGUUGUGCCUGUUAUCAGAGAUCUAUAUGCGAUCUUGAUUGUCAUCUGAAUGUAGUUUUUACUUGAAAUGUUUCCUAUAAGUGUGUUUAAAUUGGUGACUUAUUUGGUUAGCCUAGCAAAUCUCAGGAAAAUAGAAGUUUGUUAUCUGUAAAACUGGAGAAGUGGGAUUUUGGAAAAACGACCAAGGGCUGUCACCCUAGCUUUUCUCAUAAGCCACAUUUCAUAUUCAUUGGGGCUUCUAAACUAAUUAUAGAAAAACUAAUUUAGAAAUCUUAAAAAAAUUAAGAGCCAGCUUAUUUUUUAAGCUGGGGAGAGGCAGCUUAUUUUUUAAGCCGCUCAAAAGAACUGCCCCUAAUAGUCAGUACUUUUGGAUUUCUUAUAAGUGCUUUUAUAUUUCCUAUAAGUGCUUUUGGAUUUUCAGUGAUCGGUUGAUGUGGUUCAGCUUCUUGAGAAUCCAAGCCAAAUAGUCAGACCUUAUACUCCCUCUAGAUACAUCCAUACCUGCGACAAGUUAUUCGGAACGGAGGGAAUACAAUGCAAGCAAGGCGUUAGGAGAGAUGCUUAGUAAAAUUAGAUUUACUUAGUUGACUUCGGAUUAAGCGAUCAUCGAUCGAUGUGGAUCAAAGCGACGUGUAUUCAUGUCAUGCUGGUCAUCAAUGGUCUCGUGUUCCUGGUCAAUCUGGUUCAUCCGGCUCGUGCAGAACGUUUGGUUUGCUUGGGCUGUAUUUGUGUUGGAACUUAAAGCAGUAGGGAACGACUGAAUUGACCCUUUUGACGAGCCAGGCUUGCUAUGACCUAACUUUGACUGGGUGGCUCAUAAGCCCCCUUCUCGAGUCACAUCUCAUGCCCAUUCACACCAAAGUCUCUCCGCUCUCACUCACUGCUCCUUUGGUCUCUUUGAUGGCAGACCCGCAGCCGCGCCGCCCCCACCCCCAACCUUGUUGGCAACACGGUGGCUGACCUUGCAUCUAGAGGCAUUGAUCUCAUGGCGGCAAUUUGGGCGUCCUCCUGAUUAUGCAUGAGGCUGCAGGCCCACCGCGUGCUUCGACUCCAGUUUUGCACUUAUCGUCUUGGGUUAAGCUCGUCGGUUGCACCAACGACAGCCAUGGUCGGAAGUUUUAUUACUCCCGUUCAAGGGUUUUCUCUAUGUGUCACCAGAAGCAGGGAGUAGCGGCGGCGACCCUUAGAUUUGUCGGGUUAUCCUUGUUGGCCGGACCCCUGUUCCUGCCAGGGGUUGCUCCGUGGUCGGCUUACCCUUCGCCGCCAACCGCUCCGGUAAGUGAUUUGUUUUGCCGUGCUCAUGAUUGUAAUUAGGAUUUUUGCUUAGUGCUGACUAGGUUAGACGAUCUGAUUCGAUUCGAUUUAAAUCCAAUCGAUUGCGGUUGAAUAACAAUAAUGCUAGAUGGCAACUGCAAGACUGGUGUUGUUAGUGUUGGUCUUGCUACAUCAUAAUUUUAGAUUGCUACUGCUUAAGGUGUUGAUGCUAGAUUGCUACUGCUUAGGAUGUUCAUGCUAGAUUGAUGUUGUAGGUGGUAUUUGGUGUAAUGAAAAUGGUAGAUUGAUGUUGUUGGUGCCGUUCUUGGUUCAUUGACAACGGUAGAUUGAUGUUGCCCUUAGUUCAUUGACAAUGGUGGAUUGAUGAUGUUGGUGUUGUUCUUGUAGAUUGGUAGUUAGGGUGUGUGCAUGAUCAUACUACGUGCUUGCAUGAUCAUAGUAGGACAAUGCAUGUGCAUGCUACAAAUAGUAGUAGGACACAUUUGAAUCCAUUUAGGGGGUUCUGAUCACAACACUGAUCAUUUGCAACUGCCACUGAUCAUUGGCAGUUGCACUUGGGUAGUACUGAUCAGAUCAUAGCACUGAUCAUUUGCAACUGCCGCUGAUAAUUGGUAGUUGCACUUGGGUAGUACUAUGAUCAUUUGCAACUGCCAAUGCUCAGUGGCAGUUGCAAAUGAUCAUGCUCUCUUUAUUACUCUCGUCCACUUACCCGGCAAAGGUCGUGAAGACGGAGUGGGACACCACCGGUAGAGGGGUGCAGGUUGUCGCUAGCGCCCAAGAUGCGGAGGACAUCAUCCCGAUGAACCACUAGCUAAAGAGCGUAAUGUGCCGAGCAGGAUCGCCGCCAUGAGCCAGCCGAUGGGCAUUGAAUGCAUGCCUAGGAUCAGCCACGAGGAGGGGGCAUGGGAGCCGCUAAGGUUCUACGUGCAGAUCAAGGACGAGGAAGAUAUCACCAUGCUUGUCAUCCUAUCGACCUUCAGGGUGGUGAUGAAGUAUGGCUAGUCCUCAAGCCUCCUUAUGUCAUGAGGCUCUCAACUAACAAGUGGUGUGAGUUCUCGGUGCAGGUCCAAAACUUUCAUGAGUAGCUAGUCCUCGGGAGGGGCUGGCAAUACUUCUGUCACCAUCAAAGGAUCGCCCCGAAGACAUCCUUGUCGUGCGACUCUCCGGGUUCGGCUUCAAGGUACAGAUCUACAACGCCUGCAACUCGAUCAUGUGCAGGGUCAGGUUCCAGAAGCACUGCUUCCAGGGUGACAUCGAGCAUGCCCUCUAGUUAGUUAGUCUAUCAUCUGAAGUUGGUUCGGUCGUCUAAAAUUUUGCUGUGAACUAUAUAUUUUGCCCACAGAUAAGCACCAUGGGGUUGUGCAGGGGGAUGGCCCUACAGUCUUAAACUUAUGUUCCUAGGUAUUAUGCAUUGUUUAAUAGUUGUUAUUCUUAUGUGAUGUGUUGUUAAUUGUGUUGUGUUGUUCUUAUGUGUCAUGGUAGAACACGAUCACCUAUGGGGCCAUCAGCCCCUUGUGGUUUGGCAAGGGGGAAGGGCACAUUGCGCAAAGAGCGGAGACCAUGGAGCAGACCCAUGUUCGGGCCGUUGUGAAGCGUAAAAUCCUACUCUUGCUUUGGUGGAUUGGAUGGAGGACCGUGACAAACACGCAACACUCAAGCCCGGCAGGGUCGCCUCGGGGAGGGUAGCUACGCGCGUAAGAGUGUACAAGGGUCUGAAUCCUAUUUUAGGUUGCCAUGGCCCUCCUUUUAUAGGCUAAGGAGUUACCAUAGUGGCAAAUCAGUCAUUAUCUACUGAUUAGAUAGCCAACAGUGCUAUCAUACCUAACUCUGGCUGUUAGGACAAAGUGCAUUAAAUGCACUGCUAGGUGUCACGUGAGGAUGCAGCCCGACAAGCCCGCCGUGCCGCUUAACCACCUUCUUGUCUGUCUGCAUGACACGCCUAUGGACGGGUGUCACACAGGUGGAAACUCCCUUCCAAAUGGCUGCCACCUGUCAAAUGACAGCCACUUAAUCACUUGGGGGCUCGACACCGCACUGAUAAGUGACUUGCAUCGCUGUGCGAUGGAGCGGUUGAGUCUUGGCAGGGAGGUCCGCCCUUGGAGGCCCCGGCAAGCCUGCGGAGAGAUCUUGUGACUUGUUCUUGAUGUGGCCUCGACCUGGCCGGGCUCGCCUGCCCGAUAAGGGAGGUUUUUCCUUAGUGAUAUCUUGUUCCUUUGGCUUGUCUUGGUCUUCUUGAUCCGCCCUUUGAUCCCUCAAAGAGCUAUCUCUCUGGCUUGGUUUUUGUCUUGGAUGCUUGGUGUCGUUGUAACUUUGCCCUUGUGCCUGUGUACAGUCUAGGCAACAUACGCAAAGGUUUGUUGCACCAACAGGAGCCCCCGGGCCUGGCCCGAACAUGUUGCCGAGCAUGGUUGGGGCAGGCCCGAUCAGGUACAUAGGCAGAGGGCCUGCGAUAGCUCUCUUCUUGAUAUUUUCCUUUCUUCUUCAUUAACCCGUGCUUCAGUCAGUUUUCUGUUUUCCCAUGCGUUUCUUGACGCCAGACACGGUGGGGCCGCCUCUGUAGUGGCCCAUGAAUGACUUUUGUUCACGUGGAGGUAACUGCCAUUUCACUCUUCCCACUACACUCGCCUUUUUCUGCCACGUAUGUCACAUGCAUUGCAGGGUAGGUGACGGAUGGCGCGGGAAGGAGCGUUGUGGUAGGAACCCGAUCGCCUCGGAUUGGCGCAAGAGGGCAGUCGAUGAGCUCGGUCGCUGCUAGUGGCUUGGAUGAGUUGAAUUUGAAGGAGCUCUUUGGGAGCGGGUGGAGAAGCAGCCCCCGACCCUAGCUCACCUAUAAAAGGGAGCAUGAGGGGGAGCAGAGGCAUCCGUCCACACAUCUCCUCUUUCUUCUUCCUUGCUUCCUUGCUCUCCAUGCCGAGUGGGAGGGUUUAGGCCAGGUCCCGGGCCUCAGCUUGGGAGCGAUGAUUCUGAAGAUUAGUGUUGGCACUUGGGGAGUGAGUCUAGUCCGAGGCCGUGGGAGACACAACGGUUGUGAUCGGGGUAGUCGCAGCUGGUGGGUGCGCACCCAUGGCUGCCGUACUGGCCCUGGCGUGGGAGGCACCACGUCCCUUCUUAACAGUAGGGCGCUCGCGCCCUUCGUACUAGCCAUCCGCCUGGGGCAGGGGGGUUGUCUUGGCCAUAAGCUGCUGGAGUUCGAAGACCCGUUGGUGGAGUCUUCAGGGAUUCUAGUGUCUGUUCGUGGCGCCACACUCGGGAUCUUUAAUGAUCCCAGACUAGCCCUUCCCAGCGAGGUUGGGGAUGAUGCUGAAAAUGGCGAUGCCCUCCUGCCCACCAAGGUGGGGGGCAGCAUCCUCAACGCGCCCCGGGGGCCGCCAACGCCACCAGCACCCCCUCUGGGGGAAGUGACGGGGCAAGGGCCUGACGUUUUCCCGGAGCGACAGUGAUGACGAGAAAAUCGGCGAAGACGAGGAAGGCGGGUGGUAGGCCGUCAGGUCGUAGUAUGAUGGCACCGACGCCUUCGUCUCGUACUGCUUGCCAGUCGCCCCGUUCUCCAACUCUUUCCCCGCCCUGACAACAUCAUCACCAGCCUCCUCCUGGCGGUUGCCGGGGUGGGGAUGCUCUCUUGGUGUCUUCUGCCGGGCGCACCCUUUGGUCCUGGCGGUGGCGGCCAGGGCGUCGCCUAGCCGCUCUCUCCAUUCGCCACCUUCGUAGCCUCGUCACUCCCGAUCUUGUCAGGCUGCUUCCUGCGGGUCCUGAUGGGGUCAGACUGGGCUUUUGCCCAGGCACUCCUUUUGCCCUCUUCACCUCCCACUGCGGUUCCUAGGAGGAGAGGGACAAGAAAGGGAUCACAUGGUACUUAUCUUUUGUCAGUCUAAAACAUGUAGGCAUUUGCCAAAUUUUAGUCUUAACUAUGUAAUCUAUUUUAUCCAUGUUCGUGCCUUGUAAGAUUUGUACUUGCUUAUCCGCAUAUUAAUGAAAAACACAAGCUUUGUCGGGUACAUGUGCAUGUAUUCUAUCCAUGAAGAGGAGGAACGCCUCUAUACUUUUAAGUAAACAAGUUUCCUCGGCAAGCUAUCACGCCGGCGCCUUCCAUCAUUGCCGUGGAGCCUGGCCUGCCAGGCUUAAAAUUAUGGAUGGAAAUCGGUCCCUUGUAAAUCCUCCUCUACCAAAUGGUACUACAACCUUCUUGACCGAAGCAACGUUCAGAUCAAAGGGUGGGAGCACAAAUCUUUCGAAGGAGACACGGUUUCUCUAUGCACAAGUUUUAUUCUUACAAAGACAUGUAUGGAUAAACAGAAAACUUAUGUGUUUGGCUUGUCGAGGGUCGAUAUGUGAGCUUGUUUUCCGCUCUUCUUCCCAGGAUCUAGUCCGCGGCAAGAGUCUUGUAGUUAGUGCAGGGGAAAGCAUAACAGCAUAUGACCUCAUCUAAAUGAUCAUGGUAUGCUUAUGCUAAGCUAAUCAUGCAUGCAUGUUGUUUUUAGGGCGCUAGCGCUUUAUUUCAUUAUCUGUGCUCAGGGUCUGCGCCUGGGUUUGUACAAAGGGUUACAUGCGCAUCGGCAAGGUUUGUACAAAAGGGUGGCUGCUGGGGCAGGGCCCGACAACCGCGCCUUAUAGGUAGAACUUGCGAAGAUGCUCAAUAUUCCAUGAGUUUUGCAUUUGAAUGGCAUUUUCGGUCUCUAGACGGACUGUGCUAGGUCUGGUGACUCAUACUACCCGGUAAGGCCUUCCCACUUCAGCGUCAAUUUGUUGGUACCCUUGGCGGACUGAACAUGCCUGAGGACAAGGUCGCCUUCCUCAAGGCUCCGGGCAUGGACUAUGCGGCUGUGAUUGCGGUGCAGGGCUUGCUGGUAGCGUUUAGCACGCACAACAGCCCGGAGACGAUUCUGUAUAAUAGUUCCUUCCCCUCUUCCCGGCAAAUGCACUUCAAUGUCACACCGUUGGGCCUCCUUCUGUAUAAUGUGUGUAGGAUCGAAAGUAGGUCUAGAGGGGGGAGGGUGAUUAGACUACUUGACCAAAUAAAAAUCUAGCCUUUUCCCAAUUUUAAGUCUUGGCAGAUUUUAACAACUUAGCACAAGUCAAGCAAUCAACCUACACAUGCAAUUCUAAGAGUAUAGCAGCGAAAUGUAAAUCAUUGCAUAUGAAGGUAAAGGGAGGGGUUUGGAGUGGCAAACGCAAUGUAGACACGGAGAUUUUUGGUGUGGUUCUGGUAGGUGGUGCUAUCGUACAUCCACGUUGAUGGAGACUUCAACCCACGAAGGGCAACGGUUGCGCGAGUCCACGGAGGGCUCCACCCACGAAGGGUCCAUGAAGAAGCAACCUUGUCUAUCCUACCAUGGCCACCGUCCACGAAGGACUUGCCUCACUUGGGUAGUUCUUCACGAAGUAGGCGAUCUCCUUGCCCUUACAAACUCCUUGGUUCAACUCCACAAUCUUGACGGAGGCUCCCAAGUGACACCUAACCAAUCUAGGAGACACCACUCUCCAAAAGGUAAUAGAUGGUGUCUUGAUGAUGAACUCCUUGCUCUUGUGCUUCAAAUGAUAGUCUCCCCAACAAGCAACUCUCUCUCACAGAUUUGGCUAUGGCGGAAAGAUGAUUUGAGUGGAAAGCAACUUGGGGAAGACUAGAGAUCAAGAUUCUUGUGGUUGGAUUGGAAUGUCUUGGUCUCAACACAUGAGUAGGUGGUUCUCUCUCAAAAAAUGAAUGCUGGAAGUGUAGGAACGUUCUGAUGUCUCUCUCACAAAUGGAGAGGAGGGUGGAGGGGUAUAUAUAGCCUCCACACAAAAUCUAACCGUUACACACAAAAGAGCCAACUCGGUCAGACGAAUAUGUGAACUCCGUGAGCCCGAUUCAGUUCAAAAUGUGAAUGUUAGAGUUUUCGGUGGGAUCGACAUGGUCAACUCGGUGGGGCCGAUGCGCUAGGGUUAGGGAAAAACUUGAUCUUGGUUUGACCGAUAACUUCAACUUAGUGAGACCGAUUUCAGUAACAAGCAAACAGAGAGUUGGUCAGGCAAACUCGGUGGGACCAAUCGCUCCUUUCGGUUAGACCGAAACGUUACAAAAGGGAAAUAGAGAGUUUGCAUUGCGAACUCGGUGGGAACGAUUGCUCAUUUCGGUGAGACUGAAACAUUACGAAGGGAAAUAGAGAGUUUGUAGUCCCAUCUCGGUGAGACCGAGAUCCCUAUCGGUGAGAUCGAACUGAUUAGGGUUUGUGGCUAUGGCUAUGUCAAGUGAACUCGGUGGCGCCGGAUGCAUCAAAUCGGUGGGGCCGAGUUUGACUUUGGGCUUAGGACAUAUUUGUAUAUGAGAAAGUGGUUGAGGGAUUUGGAGCAUAUCAGUAAGCAUUUUGAGCAAGUAGACCAUUAAGCAACACCUCAUCCCCUUUUAAUGUAUUGGCUUUCCUAUGGACUCAAUGUGAUCUUGGAUCACUAAAAUAGAAAUGAAGAGUCUUGAGCUUUUGACAAUAUUUGUCUUUAUCAUUUUGAGGGGUCCACAUCUCUUAGUCCAUGCCAUGCCAAACAUUGAACUUUCUGAAAUAAUCAUCUUGCGAGAAUAUUAGUUCAAUGAGCUAUAUGUUGUUAGGAAUUACCAAAACCACACAGGGAUUAGUUGCACUUUCAAUCUCCCCCUUUUUGGUAAUUGAUGACAACAUAUAGAUCAAAGCUUCGACAAAGGAUAAUAAGAAUAAAAUAUAUCGCCGCUUUGAGAAGUAUGUGAUAAGCAAGGGCUCCCCCUAAAUUUGUGCAUUAUUUAUGAUUUGCUUUUGAAUGCAAAUGCACAAUCGAUUAGGAUCAUGGGUUACUCUUCCAUGUCACAUACGUCUUGGUGGAGCGCUCAAAAUGAUAGAACAUACAUAACAUGCACUCAUCACCAAGACAAAUAUGAUAGAUCAUACACACGAUAUAAGAGAUAUCAUCAUUCAAGCAUUGCAUAAUAAAGCAUAGUAUGAUCCACCACAUGAUCAUAGAAUUAUCUCACACACAAGCAUAAAUAUUGUAGCAAACACAAGCAAAGCGAGCAAAUAAGUAGCAAGAGAGACCAAAAAAACAACAAAACACACACACACACACACACACACUCUCUCUCUCUCUCAGCCUAUGAUCUAUACACUUUCUCCCCCUUUGGCAACAAGUUACCAACAAGCUCGAAAAUGCAUAGUGCUAUACGACACUCUAAGCAUGAUCUUCGGGAGCUCUGGAGUGCGAAGAUGGCGUGGAGAGAACAUCAUAUGCGAAUUUUGCUGACGUCUGAGGAACUGGAGGAGUUGCCACUGGAGGGGCAACUGAGGCUUUGGCUGCAGGAGCUAAGGUUGUAGCCCUAGUGUCAAUCACUGGCACUGCUGCAGACCUUUGUGCUCUAGGCACCCUCUGAUAAGCAUCUGUGGUUGUCCUGUCAUUCCUGUCCUCAAGGUCUUCUUGUAUCUUCUCAACUGAAGUCUGAAUCUCAAUGACUUUGACAUCCAAGUCAUGUAGCUUUGUCUCAAAGAUCCUCUCAAGGCUCUCUUGAUUUCGAGUCAGGGUAGCUAGUCCUUUCUCUAUUCUCACAGUGGCCUCAAGCAGAUAGCUGAGCUGGUCAUGCUUGGUCUUGAGAUUAACUGCAGAAGGGUCUGGGAUCUUUGAACCUUUUUCAGCCUGUGCCUUCUCUAUCUUCUCUUGAGCCUCAACAGAAGUUGGAUGUGAAGCAUCCAUCACAACAGUGUUAUCCUCAAAAUCAGGCCUCAAGGGAAGGUGCUCUCUGUCCAACAAAUAUGUGCUUGUGCCUAUCUUGGAAUUUAUGAGCAUCUGAAUAUGUGGAGCAUAGCCACAUGAUCUCUUCUAGUCAGCUGCAGUUCUCUUAACAGUCUCAACAAUCGAACUCAUCACUUUGAAUUCCUCUUGCACAUCAAACAUAUGCAGCAAAUUGAUGGAGUUCCCUCUGAUCAUCUUGUGAUCACCAGACUUGGGCAACAGUGUGUGCCUGAGGAUGUUGUUGAUUGUUGUCAGCCCUGACAGAAGGUAAUAAACAGAGCCAAACUUAUGUGUUUCCAAGGCAUUAUCUGGAAUUUCCUUGUACAUGUGUGCCAUAGAGUUGUGAUCUUUUCUGGGCUUGGCAUAUACAUUAGUAUCAUCAUCCGCCUCUUCUGAAGCAGUCAUCAGCUUUGCCCACUUAGCAAUGGAAGAUUGGUACCUAGUACCCUCAGUCAUCCAGACAAUCUUGCCAUCUGGGUAGAAGUGAGCUGUGGAGUAGAACUGCAUGAUCAACUCAUCAUUCCAUUUGGUCAAUUUCUAACCCACAAACUUGUCAACUCCAUUCAUUCUGAAGCUCUCAUGAACUCCAGGAAAAUGAUCUUCAUUGUUGUCAGUGAACUUCCAAUCCACCCACACUACUGCAGGAUGGUCCAAACGCGACACUACGACCAGAGACCCUUCGACGAAACUGUGUGUGAUGCCAUAAUCACAAACGGUGGUGUAAAAAACCCGUCAAAAAAGGUGCAAAACGUUUGCGAUGACGGAUGCAUCAAACACGGUUCAAAUUUUAGUAGCGUGUGCGAUGCAUGGCAUACGAUUCAGUUCAAUUAACUGUUUGGGCUGAGGAGGAACAAAAGAAACGGGCAGUCAGAUGAAGGUGUGUGCCAUAUACAGCAUAAGGUUCACUAGGAUGAACUGUGUGUGAUUAGGAAACACAAUGGAAACCGUUCAACUGAACAAUAUGUGUGUGAUACACGACAAACAGAUCCGUAAUUAGAAAAGUGUGCGAAGAUCAAUAAUAACACAGACGAUUGCUGCUAAUAAGCCGUGUGAUUUGCUCUAUCUACAGAAGAAUAACAUGUAUAUAUAUACAAUAUAUAUAUAUAAAACUGAAAUAAACAUCCAAUUAUAUAAGUGACUAUACAGAUCAUUCGCACACACCUCAACAAACAAUUGCAUGCAUUCUAAAGUAUGAGAAACGAUCAUCUAGUCAUCUACUUGUUGUGACGCUCCCACCACUGCUAUGUGGCUCGAUGUAACACCCCGGAUGUAACUUGCCAUAUUUGUAACUCCGACUCAUGCCAUUUUUGGCUUUAAGUUAUGAGAUUUCCUUCGUGGUUGGGUUUUUGUCUUCGUUUUGCAUUUUGUUCAUGUCAUGCAUUUCAUAUCACGUCAUCAUGUGCAUCGCAUUUGCAUUCGUGUUCGUCUCAUGCAUCCGAGCAUUUUCCCCGUUGUCCGUUUUGCAAUCCGACACUCCACAUGCACCGGCGCACCCCUCUUGCCCCUUUUCGUGAGCGGGAGUUAAACCUUUUCGGAAUGGACCGAGAUUUUCAAGUGGACUUGGUACACCACCGGUACACCGCAUGUCAAAUUUUGUUCCAUUUGGAGGCCGUUUGAUGCUCCAACGGUUAACCGGGUGACCGCAAAAGCCUCGUGUGUGUUGCAGCCCAACACCCCUCCAAAACAGCCCAAUAACCCAUCUAAACCACUUCCAUGUCCUCCAUCGUCGGAUCACGAUCAGGUGGGCGAAAACUACACCUCAUUUGGACACUCCAAACUCCCUCUACAUAUAUAUAUAUAUGUGUCUUCCCCCCGAAAAUCGCAGUCUAACCCUAGCUCUCCCUCUCCUCGGACCGUCGAACUAAAACGCAGCUGCCGGACGCGUCCGCCGGCCACGUCUCCCCCACCAAUAUGGAUCCGCCACGUCAGCCUUGUCGCCGCCGCAUCCAAUCGGGGGCCGCCGCGUGGACUGGGCAUGUCCCUCCGCCACCGCGGCCCGAGCGCCCCCCGCCACCUCCUUCGCCCGUUCGCCGCCCGCACCGCGCCUCCGCUCCGCCGCCCGCACCGCACCGCACCUCCGCUCUGCCGCCGAGCGCCGGCGCCGCCCCGCCAUGCUGUGUGCCGCCCGCCGUCUCCUUCGCGCACGCGCCACCGCUCCUCCACGCCCGCGCCGCCUCUCCUCACCGGCGCCAGAUCCGGUCCCCUCCACUCCGGCGAGCUCCUCCCUCGACACCGGCCGUCUCCUUCUACCCCGGCAAGUACUCCGACGAUGCUCCGGCGAACCUCGGUUCCCAUGCAUGGAAACCCUAGAUCUGAAACUGGGAGGUCUAUUUCUUCCAAGUCUCUUUCCCCCUAAUAUUUUCAUGCCAUGUUCAUCACAUCAUAUCUCCGUCCUCGGUGAUCCGAUUGAUGCAUAUGAUAUGUCAAAUUGUUCGUCUCGUCGAGCUCUUCAUGGUAGAAGGAUCUCCAUGCAUGUUUCUCUCUGUAAUGAUUCCUUUUUCAUUGAUGCAAGAGUGCUAUAAAUUGUUAACGACUGGUACUUAUCAGAUUAUGAGGUUUUGUCAUUUUUGUUGCAUUUGAUGUGUGCAUCAUAUGAGCAUGAGCUCUAUAGGUGUUUUGAACUACAACAUGCCAUCUUUAUAGAGGUGCUUGUCUUUUAUUUUUGUGAUCUAUAUGGUGACUAGCACAAGCAUGCAAACUAGGCUUCGUGAUGUUGCUGUUUUCACGGACUUAGGAUUUUGCUAAGUCUUUUCCUGCUGUUAUUUUGAUGCCAUGUAAACUUGAUGCUAUAGUGAGAUCCAUGCUUAUUUUGGGAUACUUCAGUAAGGAUGUUUUGAACAUGUGGUUAUGCUAUAUCCAUCCAUGCCCCUGUUUGAAAUUAUGAAGUGCUCUAGCAUGUCUUGUUCUUGCUCUACUUCUGCUAUAAAAAGUUCCUGGCAGAACGUUAACAUGUUAAUCAAUUUUGCCAUGGUUGUUGCUAGUGAUCCAUGUAUCCUAUGAACUUUCUCUUGCCAUGGUUAGCUUCAUGAACAUGUCAUCUUGCUGUUGGUAUGCUUUUUUGUCAUGCAAUGCUUUGUGGUGAGUGGCAUGAGCUCGCAAAGUUGCUAUCAUAAUCCUGUUUAUGCCAUGCUCUGUUUUUCUGCUAAGUCUGAAACUGUUAAUAAAUCUUGCUAUGUUUACAUGGGUGCCAUCAUAUCUCCUGUGCCUUUUUGGCUCAUGUUCAGUAAGAGACUUUUGUUCUAUGAAUUUAGUAGAACAAUGCCAUGCAUUGGUUUGCUAUGAUAUGUUCCUGUAGCAUGUUGUUUGCUUUCUCUAAACAUUGCUUCGUGAUGUUAUUUUUGACAUGUUAGUAUUUCACUAAGUCUGUGAUGCUGAUAUCUUUUGCACUUUUGACAUGUUUGUUUGAACCUGUUCUAGUGUGAUUUGGCCGUAGCUCAGUGUUCAUGUUUUGUCAAGUAUCUCGUGUACAUCACUGCCAUAUGCUUUGUUGCUAUGUUGGAGUGCAGUAGCUUAGUUGCUUGUUGCAUUCUAAGUGGCAUCAUGCUGUUAAUCGCAGUUUUGCGUCAUUCUUGUGAUGCUUGCCAUUUGCAAACCGUGCAUCCGUUUCCAGUGAUCUUUAUAUCGAUUUCGACCGAAAUAAUCUCAUAUUUCCAGCGACACACUUGGUUUUCCAAGUUGAUGCCUUGAUCAUUCUUUCCCUUCCGGAGCACGCAUAUGCAUCGCAUAUCAUGUCUUGCAUAUCAUGCCAUGUAUUGCAUCAUGUUGCUUGUGCAUUGCAUCGUAAUUGAUUGUUGGUCCUUUGCUUGUGUUCUUGCUUUGGGUAGAGCCGGGAGACGAGUACGUGACCGAGGAACCUAUUGAGUAUGCUUACGAGGAUCAAGCUUUCGACAACUCUGAGAACUUUGUAGGCAAGAUGACCAUACCCUCAAAAUCACUUCUAUCUUUGCUUGCUAGUUGUUCGCUCUAUUGCUAUGCCGCGCUACCUACCACUUGCUAGCAAACCGUUGUUUGGCUAUGUUACCGCUUUUGCUCAGCCCCUCUUGUAGCGUUGCUAGUUGCAAGUGAAGAUGAAGCUUGUUCCAUGUUGGAACAUGGAUAUUGUUGGGAUAUCAUUAUUAUAUCUUAUUUACUUUGAUGCAUAUAUACUUGGUAAAGGAUGGAAGGCUCGGCCUUAUGCCUGGUGUUUUGUUCCACUCUUGCCACCCUAGUUUCCGUCAUACCGAUGUUAUGUUCCUUGAUUUUGCGUUCCUUACACGGUUGGGUGUUAUGGGAACCCCUUGACAGUUCGCUUUGAAUAAAACUCCUCUAGCAAGGCCCAACCUUGGUUUUACCAUUUGCCUACCUACCACCAUAUACCUUUCCCUUGGGUUCUGCAGACUCAAGGGUCAUCUUUAUUUUAAACCCCCCGGGCCAGUGCUCCUUUGAGUGUUGGUCCGAACCGAGCCGCCUGCGGGGCCACCUCGAGGAAACUCGAGGGUUGGUUUUACUUGUAGCUUGUCUCGUCCGAUGUUGCACUGAGAACGAGAUACAUGCGAUUCCUAUCGGGAUUUGUUGGCACAUCGGGUGGCUUUGCUGGUCUUGUUUUACCAUUGUCAAAAUGUCUUGUAAUCGGGAUUCCGAGACUGACUGGGUCUUCCCGGGAGAAGGAAUAUCCUUCGUGGAUUGUGAGAGCUUGUGAUGGGCUAAGUUGGGACACCCCUGCAGGGUAUAAACUUUCGAGAGCCCUACCCGCGGUUAUGUGGCAUAUGGGAAUUUGUUAAUAUCCGUUUGUAGAGAACUUGACACUUAACUUAAUUGAAAUGAAUCAACUGCGUGUGUUGCAGUGAUGGUCUCUUUUCGGCGGAGUCCGAGAAGAGAACACGGUCUUUUGUUAUGCUUGAACGUAAGUAGUUUCAGGAUCACUUCUUGAUCACUUAUAGUUUCUCGACCAUUGCAUUGCUUCUGUUCUCGCUCUCAUUUGCGUAUGUUAGCCACCAUACAUGCUAGUGCUUGCUGCAGCUCCACCUUACUACCUUCUCCUACCCAUAAGCUUAAAUAGUCUUGAUCGCGCGGGUGUGAGAUUGUUGAGUCCUCGUGACUCACGGAUACUUCCAAACAGUUGCAGGUGCCGACGAGAGCAGUGCAGGCGAUGCUACCGAACUCAAGGUGGAGUUCGACGAGGAUUUGGGCCGUUACUAUGUUUCCUUUCCUGAUGAUUAGUAGUGGAGCCCAAUUGGUACGAUCAGGGAUCUAGCAUUUGGGGUUGUCUUCUUUUAUUUUGGUUCCGUAGUCGGACCUUUGAUUAUACUUUGGAUGAUGUAUGAACUAUUUAUGUAUUGUGUGAAGUGGCGAGUGUAAGCCAACUCUUUAUCCCUUUCUUAUUCAGUACAUGGGAUGUGUAAAGAUUACCCCUCUUGCGACAGGCCUACCAUGCGGCUAUGCCUCUAAGUCGUGCCCUAACACGUGGGAGAUAUAGCCGCAUUUUGGGUGCUACAAGUUGAUAAUCAGAGCCUUACCCGACUUAGGAGCCUCCGCUUGAUCGAACGCUAGCGUUUUUGAGUCUAGAACAAAUUGUUUUGAGUGUUAGGAUUAUAUAUAUCGGAGAGUAGGAUUCUUUUUCUCGUCAGUCCCUUCGUCGCUCUGGUGAGGCCUCCCGACGUAGAAGUUUUGACUCUUCUCUCCUCAAAUUUCACGAAUGUUUUUUUGGAUCAUGCGGGUAUCUUGGAAUCGUUCCGAUAGUCUUGUGAGGAGAACAUUAUUCUUGGUGCCUCCUGACAUUUAGGGGUUGUGGCAGUGUCCCGCGGAGUUGAGAUCUGAUACGUCUCCAACGUAUCUAUAAUUUUUGAUUGCUCUAUGCUACAUUAUCUACUGUUUUGAAUGUUUCUGGGCUUUAUUAUACACUUUUAUAUCAUUUUUGGGACUAACCUAUUAACCCAGAGCCUAGUGCCAAUUUCUGUUUUUACCCUGUUUUAGGGUUUCAAAGAAAAGGAAAAUCAAACGGAGUCCAAUUGACCUGAAACUUCACGGAACUCAUUUUUGGAAGGAAAGCAACCCAGAAGACUUGGAGUGCACGUCGGGGGAUUUGCGAGGAGGUCACGAGGCAGGGGGGCGCGCCCACCCCCUGGGUGCACCCUCCACCCCCAUGAGCCCCUCGUGCCCCCCCUGACGUACUUCUUCUGCCUAAAAACAUCCGUGAGCAGAAUAGAUCGGGAGUUCCGCCGCCAGAAGCCUCCGUAGCCACCAAAAGCCAAUCUAGACCCGUUUCGGCACCCUGCCGGAGUGGGCAAUCCUUAUCCGGUGGCCAUCUUCAUCAUCCCGGUGCUCUCCAUGAUGAGGAGGGAGUAGUUCUCCCUCGGGGCUGAGGGUAUGUACCAGUAGCUAUGUGUUUGAUCUCUCUCUCUCUCUCGUGUUCUUGAGAUAAUACGAUCUUGAUGUAUCACGAGCUUUGCUAUUAUAUUUGGAUCCUAUGAUGUUUCUUCCCCCCGCUACUCUCUUGUAAUGAAUUGAGUUUCCCCUUUGAAGUUAUAUUAUCGGAUUGAGUCUUUAAAGAUUUGAGAACACUUGAUGUAUGUCUUGCCGUGGAUAUCUGUGGUGACAAUGGGAUAUCACAUGAUUCACUUGAUGUAUGUUUUGGUGAUCAACUUGCGGGUUCCGCCCAUGAACCUAUGCAUAGGGGUUGGCACAUGUUUUCGUCGUGAUUCUCCGGUAGAAACUUUGGGGCACUCUUUGAGGUCCUUUGUGUUGGUUGAAUAGAUGAAUCUGAGAUUGUGUGAUGCAUAUCGUAUAAUCAUACCCACGGAUACUUGAGGUGACAUUGGAGUAUCUAGGUGACAUUAGGGUUUUGGUUGAUUUGUGUCUUAAGGUGUUAUUCUAGUACGAACUCUAGGGCUGUUUGUGACACCUAUAGGAAUAGCCCAACGGAUUGAUUGGAAAGAAUAACUUUGAGGUGGUUUCGUACCCUACCAUAAUCUCUUCGUUCAUUCUCCGCUAUUAGUGACUUUGGAGUGACUCUUUUUUGCAUGUUGAGGGAUAGUUAUGUGAUCCAAUUAUGUUAGUAUUGUUGAGGGAACUUACACUAGCGAAAGUAUGAACCCUAGGCCUUAUUUCCUAGCAUUGCAAUACCGUUUAUGCUCACUUUUAUCAUUAGUUACCUUGCUAUUUUUAUAUUUUCAGAUUACAAAAACCUUUAUCUACUAUCCAUAUUGCACUUGUAUCACCAUCUCUUCGCCGAACUAGUGCACCUAUACAAUUUACCAUUGUAUUGGGUGUGUUGGGGACACAAGAGACUCUUUGUUAUUUGGUUGCAGGGUUGCUUGAGAGAGACCAUCUUCAUCCUAUGCCUCCUACGGAUUGAUAAACCUUAGGUCAUCCACUUGAGGGAAAUUUGCUACUAUCCUACAAACCUCUGCACAUGGAGGCCCAACAACGUCUACAAGAAGAAGGUUGUGUAGUAGACAUCAAGCUCUUUUCUGGCGCCGUUGCCGGGGAGGUGAGUGCUUUAAGGUAUAUCUUUAGAUCUUGCAAUCGAGUCUUUUAUUUUAUUGUUUUAUCACUAGUUUAGUUUAUAAAAGGAAACUAUAAAAAAAUGGAAUUGAGUUUGUCUCAUACGCUUCACCUUUUUAAUAUCUUUCGUGAGUAUGAUGGAAAGGAAAAUUGUGCUCAAGUGCUAGAAGAAGAAUGCAUUAGAAUGUUUGGAACUAAAUAUUUGAAUGAUGAGCAUGAUUGCAAUGUUGUUAGUAUGAAUGCUUUGAAUAUCCAUGACUCUAAUGAUGAUUGCACUAGUUAUGAUGAAAAUGUCUCCUAUAAACAUGUCAAUUUUUGUGGAGUGCAUUGGGUUUGUAAGUACACACCAAAUAGGGAAGAUAGAUAUUGCAAGAGGCAUAAGUACUUAGAAACUAAAUUGUUGCAAGAAAGUCUUGAUGAUUGUGCUAAAAAAUUCAAUAUUUUUCGCGACGCUUGUGAACUUUGCAAUGAACAUGGUCAUUUAAAUCUCCAAUGCAAAUUGUUUCAUGACCGAAUCAUAUCCAAAAAUUGUGAUAAUUUGAUUACCCUUGAGCAUCAUAAAGAGCUUAGUCUUCUUUUGGGGUAUGAGGAAAUGAAACGUAUAACCGAGGGUAUUCCAAAGUUUAAUCUUGAUAAACUUCUUGGAUUUGAUCUAGAGGAAAUUUAUAUGUAUUGUGCGGUGAAUUGUAUUGAAAAUCCUUAUAUUGUCAACUACAUAAAUAAAAGAAAACAAAUAGAAGAUGAAGAGAAUACAAAUGAAAGGGAAGAGACUUCCUAAUAUCCUCCUAUUAUUUCUUAUGAUGAAUCAGGUAACGAGGAGGAGCCUCCUAUUCAACCAAUCUCAUUAAUAAGGAGCUCCAAAAAGAGGAUUGAACCCACACAUGAUGUGGUGAAGAAGAAGAAAAGAAAAAGGAAGAGAGGUAAAAAGAUAUCUCUCACAAAUAAUGCUGCUCCUAUUACUAUUGUGCCUCAUGAAAAUAUAAUUGUGGAAGAUAAUGAUACUUCUUAUGAUCUUGAAAAUAUUUUUGGCACUUUCUUGGAAGAAUAUGAUAAUUGCUAUACUAUUGGUGCUAUCCAUACUAUUAAUUAUGAGAAUGAUUAUGCUUAUGAUAUGAAAAGGCCCAAGCUUGGGGAUGCUAUGUUUGAUGAAGAUGAUGUUUUUGAGAAUAUAUUUGCUGCAAUUAAUGUUUGUCCCAAGCUUGGGGAAGCUAUGAUUAAUGAAGAUGAUAUUUUUAGUCUCCCAAGUUUUGAUAUGCAAGUUUAUAAUGAUGAUAGCAUGCCUCCUAGUUAUGAUGAUUAUUAUGAUGAUACUUAUGCUAUAAAAAGUAGUGAUUAUAUUUAUAAAACUUGUCAUGAUUAUGAUUAUCCCUUCUCUGAACAUUACUCUUUUAAUGUGGAAACAAUUUAUAGUAUUCAAGUCUCUUAUGAUACUCCCACUAUUUCGACUGAGAAGAAAUUUGCUUAUGUGGAGAGUAAUAAAAUUUCUAUGCUUGUAGAUCAUGAAAAUAAUGCUUUAAGUGCUGGUUAUAUUGUUGAAUUCAUUCAUGAUGCUACUGAAAAUUAUUAUGAGGGAGGAACAUAUGCUUGUAGGAAUUGCAAUAAUAUCAAGUUUCCUCUCUAUGCGCUUAAAGUUUUGAAGUUAUGCUUGUUUUACCUUCCUAUGCAAGUUGAUUCUUGUUCCCACAAGUUAUUUGCUCACAAAAUCCCUAUGCAUAGGAAGUGGGUUAGGCUUAAAUGUGCUAGUCAUAUUCUUCAAGGUGCUCUCUUUAUGUUACAAUUCUUAUCUUUUAUGUGAGCAUCGUUGAAAUCAUCAUGCCUAGCUAGGGGCGUUAAACGAUAGCGCUUGUUGGGAGGCAACCCAACUUUAUUUUUGUUCCUUGCUUUUUGCUCCUGUUUAGUAAUAAAUAAUUCAUCUAGCCUCUGUUUAGAUGUGGUUUUAUGCUUUUAAUUAGUGUUUGUGCCAAGUAGAACCUUUGGGAAGACUUGGGGAGAGUCUUUUUGAUCAUGCUGUAAAAAACAGAAACUUUAGCGCUCACAAGAAUUGCUGCCAUUUUUAUUUAGAGAGUGAUAUUUAGUUAAUUAUUUUUGCAGAUGAUUAAUAGAUAAAUUCCUCACGUCCAGAAAUUUAUUUGAGAAUUUUAUGAGUUCCAGAAUUAUACGUUUGAUCCAGAUUACUACAGACUGUUCUGUUUUUGACAGAUUCUGUUUUUCGUGUGUUGUUUGCUUAUUUUGAUGAAUCUAUGGCUAGUAAAAUAGUUUAUAAACCAUAGAGAAGUUGGAAUACAGUAGGUUUAACACCAAUAUAAAUAAAGAAUGAGUUCAUUACAGUACCUUGAAGUGGUGAUUUAUUUUCUUAUACUAACGGAGCUUACGAGUUUUCUGUUAAGUUUUGUGUUGUGAAGUUUUCAAGUUUUGGGUAAGGAUUCGAUGGACUACGGAAUAAGGAGUGGAAAGAGCCUAAGCUUGGGAUACCCGAGGCACCCCAAGGUAAUAUUCAAGGACAACCAAAACCCUAAGCUUGUGGAUGCCCCGGAAGGCAUCCCCUCUUUCGUCUUUGUUCAUCGGUAACUUUAAGCUAUAUUUUUAUUCGCCACAUGAUAUGUGUUUUGCUUGGAGCGUCAUUUUAUUUUAUUUAGUUUUGCUUGCUGUUUGAAUAAAAUACCAAGAUCUGAAAUUAUUAAAUAUUAGAGAUGAAGGAAAUAUGCCCUAGAGGCAAUAAUAAAGUUAUUAUUUAUUUCCUUAUUUCAUGAUAAAUGUUUAUUAUUCAUGCUAGAAUUGUAUUAACCGGAAACAUAAUACAUGUGUGAAUACAUAGACAAACAAAGUGUCACUAGUAUGCCUCUACUUGACUAGCUUGUUAAUCAAAGAUGGUUAUGUUUCCUAACCAUAGACAUGUGUUGUCAUUUGAUUAGAGGAAUCACAUCAUUAGGAGAAUGAUGUGAUUGACUUGACCCAUUCUGUUAGCUUAGCACUCGAUCGUUUAGUAUGUUGCUAUUGCUUUCUUCAUGACUUAUAGAUGUUCCUAUGACUAUGAGAUUAUGCAACUCCCGUUUGCCGGAGGAACGCUUUGUGUGCUACCAAACGUCACAACGUAAUUGGGUGAUUAUAAAGGAGCUCUAUAGGUGUCUCCAAAGGUACAUGUUGGGUUGGCGUAUUUCGAGAUUAGGAUUUGUCACUCCGAUUGUCGGAGAGGUAUCUCUGGGCCCUCUCGGUAAUGCACAUCAUUUAAGUCUUGCAAGCAUUGCAACUAAUGAGUUAGUUGCGAGAUGAUGUAUUACGAAACGAGUAAAGAGACUUGCCUGUAACGAGAUUGAACUAGGUAUUGAGAUACCGACGAUCGAAUAUCGGGCAAGUAACAUACCGAUGACAAAGGGAACAACGUAUGUUGUUAUGCGGUCUGACCGAUAAAGAUCUUCGUAGAAUAUGUGGGAGCCAAUAUGAGUAUCCAGGUUCCGCUAUUGGUUAUUGACCGGAGACGUGUCUCGGUCAUGUCUACAUUGUUCUCGAACCCGUAGGGUCCGCACGCUUAAGGUUUCGAUGACAGUUAUAUUAUGAGUUUUGAUGUACCGAAGGAGUUCGGAGUCCCGGAUGAGAUCGGGGACAUGACGAGGAGUCUCGAAAUGGCCGAGACGUAAAAAUCGAUAUAUUGGACGACUAUAUUCGGACAUCGGAAAGGUUCCGAGUGAUUCGGGUAUUUUCGGAGGUACCGGGGAGUUAUGGGAAUACGAGGAAGAAGCAAUGGGCCUUAAUGGGCCUUAGUGGGAAGGACCAGGAGGUGGCGCGCGCCCCUCCCAAGCCCAGUCCGAAUUGGACAAGAGGUUUGGGGCGCGACCCCUCUCUCCCUUCCUUCCCCUCUUCCCCCCUUUCCCCCCUUCUCCUAGUUGGACUAGGAAAGGAGGAAACCUACUCCAACUAGGAGUAUGAAUCCUACUCCCUGGCGCGCCCCUCCUAGGGCCGGCCUCCUCCCCCUUGCUCCUUUAUAUACGGGGGCAGGGGGGCACCUCUAGACACACAAGUUGAUCCACGUGAUUGUUUUCUUAGCCGUGUGCGGUGCCCCCUUCCACCAUAAUCCUCGAUAAUAUUGUAGCGGUGCUUAGGCGAAGCCCUGCGACGGUUGAACAUCAAGAUCGUCACCACGCCGUCGUGCUGACGGAACUCCUCCCCAAAGCUUUGCUGGAUCGGAGCCCGGGGAGCAUCAUCGAGCUGAACGUGUGCCAAGAACUCGGAGGUGCCGGAGUAACGGUGCUUGGAUCGGUUGGACCGCGAAGACGUACGACUACUUCCUCUACGUUGCGUCAACGCUUCCCCUUCGAUCUACGAGGGUACGUAGACAACACUCUCCCCUCUCGUUGCUAUGCAUCAUCAUGAUCUUGCGUGUGCAUAGAAUUUUUUUUGAAAUUACAACGUUCCCCAACAGUGGCAUCCGAGCCUAGGUUUUAUGUGUUGAUGUUAUAUGCACGAGUAGAACACAAGUGAGUUGUGGGUGAUAUAAGUCAUACUGCUUACCAGCAUGUCAUACUUUGGUUCGGCGGUAUUGUUGGACGAAGCGGCCCGGACCGACAUUACGCGUACGCUUACAUGAGACCGGUUCUCCCGACGUGCUUUGCACAAAGGUGGCUAGCGGGUGACAGUUUCUCCAACUUUAGUUGAAUCGAGUGUGGCUACGCCCGGCCUUGCGAAGGUUAAAACAACACCAACUUGACAAACUAUCAUUGUGGUUUUGAUGCAUAGGUAAGAUUGGUUCUUGCUUAAGCCCGUAGCAGCCACGUAAAACUUGCAACAACAAAGUAGAGGACGUCUAACUUGUUUUUGCAUGGCAUGUUGUGAUGUGAUAUGGUCAAGACAUGAUGCUAAAUUUUAUUGUAUGAGAUGAUCAUGUUUUGUAACCAAGUUAUCGACAACUGGCAGGAGCCAUAUGGUUGUCGCUUUAUUGUAUGCAAUGCAACUGCGAUGUAAUGCUUUACUUUAUCACUAAGCGGUAGCGAUAGUCGUGGAAGCAUAAGAUUGGCGAGACGACAACGAUGCUACGAUGAUGAUCAAGGUGUCACGCCGGUGACGAUGGUGAUCAUGACGGUACUUCGGAGAUGGAGAUCACAAGUACAAGAAGAUGAUGGCCAUAUCAUAUCACUUAUAUUGAUUGCAUGUGAUGUUUAUCUUUUAUGCAUCUUAUCUUGCUUUGAUUGACGGUAGCAUUAUAAGAUGAUCUCUCACUAAAUUUCAAGAUAAAAGUGUUCUCCCUGAGUAUGCACCGUUGCCAAAGUUCGUCGCGCCCAGACACCACGUGAUGAUCGGGUGUGAUAAGCUCUACGUCCAUCUACAAUGGGUGCAAGCCAGUUUUGCACACGCAGAAUACUCAGGUUAAACUUGAUGAGCCUAGCAUAUGCAGAUAUGGCCUCGGAACACUGAGACCGAAAGGUCGAGCGUGAAUCAUAUAGUAGAUAUGAUCAACAUAGCGAUGUUCACCAUUGAAAACUACUCCAUUUCACGUGAUGAUCGGUUAUGGUUUAGUUAAUUUGGAUCACGUGAUCACUUAGAUGAUUAGAGGGAUGUCUAUCUAAGUGGGAGUUCUUAAGUAAUAUGAUUAAUUGAACUUAAAUUUAUCAUGAACUUAGUCCUGGUAGUUUUUUGCAAAUCAUGUUGUAGAUCAAUAGCUCGCGUUGUUGCUUCCCUGUGUUUAUUUUGAUAUGUUCCUAGAGAAAAUUGUGUUGAAAUAUGUUAGUAGCAAUGAUGCGGAUUGGAUCCGUGAUCUGAGGUUUAUCCUCAUUGCUGCACAAAAGAAUUAUGUCCUUGAUGCACCGCUCGGUGACGGACCUAUUGCAGGAGCAGAUGCAGACAUUAUGAAUGUUUGGCUAGCUCAAUAUGAUGACUACUUGAUAGUUUAGUGCACCAUGCUUAACGGCUUAGAAUCGGGACUUCAAAGACAUUUUGAACGUCAUGGACAAUAUGAGAUGUUCCAGGAGUUGAAGUUAAUAUUUCAAGCAAAUACUCGAGUUGAGAGAUAUGAAGUCUCCGACAAGUUCUAUAGCUAAAAGAUGGAGGAGAAUCGCUCAACUAGUGAGCAUGUGCUCAGAUUGUCUGGAUACUACAAUCGCUUGAAUCAAGUGGGAGUUAAUCUUCCAGAUAAAAUAGUGAUUGACAGAAUUCUCUAGUCACCAUCACCAAGUUAGUAGAACUUCGUGAUGAACUAUAGUAUGCAAAGGAUGACGAAAACGACUCUCGAGCUUUUCAUGAUGAUGAAAUCGAUGAAGGUAGAAAUCAAGAAAGAGCAUCAAGUAUUGAUGGUUGACAAGACCACUAGUUUCAAGAAAAGGGCAAAGGGAAGAAGGGGAACUUCAAGAAGAACGGAAAGCAAGUUGCUACUCAAGUGAAGAAGCCCAAGUCUGAUCCUAAGCCUGAGACUAAGUGCUUCUACUGCAAAGGAAUUGGUCACUGGAAGUGGAACUGCCCCAAGUAUUUGGCGGAUAAGAAGGAUGGCAAAGUGAACAUAAGUAUAUUUGAUAUACAUGUUAUUGAUGUGUACUUUACUAGUGUUUAUAGCAACCCCUCAGUAUUUGAUACUAGUUCAGUUACUAUGAUUAGUAACUUGAAUCGGGAGUUGCAGAAUGAACAAAGACUAGUUAAGGGUGAGGUGACGAUAUGUGUUGGAAGUAGGUCCAAGAUUGAUAUGAUCAUCAUCGCACACUCACUAUACUUUCGGGAUUAGUGUUGAACCUAAAUAAAUGUUAUUUGGUGUUUGCGUUGAGCAUGAAUAUGAUUUGAUCAUGUUUAUUGUAAUACAGUUAUUCAUUUAAGUAAGAGAAUAAAUUGUUGUUCUGUUUACAUGAAUAAAACCUUAUAUGGUUACACACCCAAUGAAAAUAGUUCAUUGGAUCUCGAUCGUAGUGAUACACAUAAUCAUAAUAUUGAAACCAAAAGAUGCAAAGUUAAUAAUGAUAGUGCAACUUAUUUGUGGCACUAUCGUUUAGGUCAUAUUGGUGUAAAGCGCAUGAAGAAACUCCAUGCUGAUGGGCUUUUGGAAUCACUUGAUUAUGAAUCAGUUGAUGCUUGCGAACCAUGCCUCAUGGGUAAGAUGACUAAGACUCCGUUCUUCGGAACAAUGGAGCGAGCAACAGAUUUGUUGGAAAUCAUACAUACUGAUGUAUGUGGUCCGAUGAAUAUUGAGGCUCGCGACAGGUAUCAUUAUUUUCUGAUCUUCACAGAUGAUUUGAGCAGAUAUGAGUAUAUCUACUUGAUGAAACACAAGUUUGAAACAUUUGAAAAGUUCAAAGAAUUUCAGAGUGAAGUGGAGAAUCAUCGUAACAAAAAUAAAAGUUUCUAUGAUAUGAUCGCGGAAAUAAAAUAUUUGAGUUACGAGUUUGGCCUUCAGUUAAAACAAUGUGAAAUAGUUUCACUACUCACGCCACCUGGAACACCACAGUAUAAUGGUGUGUCCGAACAUCAAAACCGUGCUUUAUUAGAUAUGGUGCGAUCACAUUCACGUUAAAUAGGGCACCAUCUAAAUCCGUUGAGAUGACACCAUAUGAAUUGUGGUUUGGCGAGAAACCUAAGCUGUCGUUUCUUAAAGUUUGGGGACUGCGAUGCUUAUGUGAAAAAGUUUCAACUUGAUAAGCUCGAACCCAAAUCGGAGAAGUAAAUCUUCAUAGGAUACCCAAAAGAAAAUGUUGGGUACACCUUCUAUCAUAGAUCCGAAGGCAAGUUAUUCAUUGCUGAGAAUGGAUCCUUUCUAGAGAAGGAGUUUCUCUUGAAAGAAGUGAGUGGGAGGAAAGUAGAACUUGUUGAGGUAAUUGUACCUGCUCCCUUAUUGGAAAGUAGUUCAUCACAGAAAUCUGUUCUUGUGACUACUACACCAAUUAGUGAGGAAGCUAAUGAUGAUGAUCAUGUAACUUCAGAUCAAGUUACUACCGAACCUCAUAGGUAAACCAGAGUGAGAUCCGCACUAGAGUGGUACAGUAAUCCUGUUCCGGAAAUCAUGCUACUAGAUCAUGAUGAACCUACGAACUAUGAGGAAGCGAUGAUGAGCCCAGAUUCCGCAAAAUGGCUUGAAGCCAUGAAAUCUGAGAUGGGAUCCAUGUAUGAAAAACAAAGUAUGGACUUUGGUUGACUUUCCCGAUGAUUGGCAAGCAAUUGAAAAUAAAUGGAUCUUCAAGAGGAAGACGGACGCUGAUAGUAGUGUUACUAUCUACAAAGCUAGAAUUGUCGCAAAAGGGUUUUCGACAAGUUCAAGAUGUUGACUAUGAUGAGAGUUUCUCACUCGUAUCCAUGCUUAAGUCUGUCCGAAUCAUGUUAGCAAUUGCCGCAUUUUAUGAAAUCUGGCAAAUGGAUAAACACAACUGCAUUCCUUAAUAGGAUUUAUGAAAGAAGAGUUGUAUAUGAUGCAACCAGAAGGUUUUGUCAAUCCUAAAAGUGUUAACAAAAUAUGCAAGCUCCAGCAAUCCAUCUAUGGACUGGUGCAAGCAUCUCGGAGUUGGAAUAUACGCUUUGAUAUGUUGAUCAAAGCAUAUAGUUUUAUACAAACUUGCAGUGAAGCCUGUAUUUACAAGAAAGUGAGUGGGAGCACUACAACAUUUCUGAUAAGUAUAUGUGAAUGACAUAUUGUUCAUCGGAAAUAAAUGUAGAAUUAUUCUGCAAAGCAUAAAGGAGUGUUUUGAAAGAAGUUUUUCAAAGAAAGACCUCGGUGAAGCUGCUUACAUAUUGAGCAUCAAGAUCUAUAGAGAUAGAUCAAGAUGCUUGAUAAGUUUUUCAAUGAGUACAUACCUUGACAAGAUUUUGAAGUAGUUCAAAAUGGAACAGUCAAAGAAGGAGUUCUUGCCUGUGUUACAAGGUGUGAAGUUGAGUAAGACUCAAAAUCCCGACCACGGCAGAAGAUAGAAAGAGAAUGAAAGUCAUUCCCUAUGCCUCAGCCAUAGGUUCUAUAAAGUAUGCCAUGCUAUGUACCAGAUCUAUUGUAUACCCUACACUGUUUUUUUGGCAAGGGAGUACAAUAGUGAUCUAGGAGUAGAUCACUGGACAUCAGUCAAAAUUAUCCUUAGUGGAAUAAGGAUAUGUUUCUCGAUUAUGGAGGUGACAAAAGGUUCGUCGUAAAAGGAUUACGUCGAUACAAGUUUUUGGCACUGAUCCGGAUGACUCUAAGUCUUCAUCUGGAUACAUACUGAAAGUGGGAGCAAUUAGCUAAAGUACCUCCGUGCAGAGCAUUGUAGACAUAGAAAUUUGCAAAAUACAUACAGAUCUGAAUUUUGGCAGACUCGUUGACUAAGCUUCUCUCACAAGCAAAACAUGAUCACACCUUAGUACUCUUUGGGUGUUAAUCACAUAUAGAUGUGAACUAGAUUACUGACUCUAGUAAACCCUUUGAGUGUUGGUCACAUGACGAUGUGAACUAUGGGUGUUAAUCACAUGGUGAUGUGAACUAUUGAUGUUAAAUCACAUGGCGAUGUGAUCUAGAUCAUUGACCCUAGUGCAAGUGGGAGACUGAAGGAAAUAUGCCCUAGAGGUAAUAAUAAAGUUAUUAUUUAUUUCCUUAUUUCAUGAUAAAUGUUUAUUAUUCAUGCUAGAAUUGUAUUAACCGGAAACAUAAUACAUGUGUGAAUACAUAGACAAACAAAGUGUCACUAGUAUGCCUCUACUUGACUAGCUCGUUAAUCAAAGAUGGUUAUGUUUCCUAACCAUAGACAUGUGUUGUCAUUUGAUUAGGGGGAUCACAUCAUUAGGAGAAUGAUGUGAUUGACUUGACCCAUUCCGUUAGCUUAGCACUCGAUCGUUUAGUAUGUUGCUAUUGCUUUAUUCAUGACUUAUAGAUGUUCCUAUGACUAUGACAUUAUGCAACUCCCGUUUGCCGGAGGAACACUUUGUGUGCUACCAAACGUCACAACGUAACUGGGUGAUUAUAAAGGAGCUCUACAGGUGUCUCCAAAGGUACAUGUUGGGUUGGCAUAUUUCGAGAUUAGGAUUUGUCACUCCGAUUGUCGGAGAGGUAUCUCUGGGCCCUCUCGGUAAUGCACAUCACUUAAGCCUUGCAAGAAUUGCAACUAAUGAGUUAGUUGCGAGAUGAUGUAUCACGGAAUGAGUAAAGAGACUUGCCUGUAACGAGAUUGAACUAGGUAUUGAGAUACCGACGAGCGAAUAUCGGGCAAGUAACAUACCGAUGACAAAGGGAACAACGUAUGUUGUUAUGCGGUCUGACCGAUAAAGAUCUUCGUAGAAUAUGUGGGAGCCAAUAUGAGCAUCCAGGUUCCGCUAUUGGUUAUUGACCGGAGACGUGUCUCGGUCAUGUCUACAUUGUUCUCGAACCCGUAGGGUCCGCACGCUUAAGGUUUCGAUGACAGUUAUAUUAUGAGUUUAUGAGUUUUGAUGUACCGAAGGAGUUCGGAGUCCCGUAUGAGAUCGGGGACAUGACGAGGAGUCUCGAAAUGGUUGAGACGUAAAAAUCAAUAUAUUGGAUGACUAUAUUCGGACAUCGGAAAGGUUCCGAGUGAUUCGGGUAUUUUUGGAGGUACCGGGGAGUUACGGGAAUAUGAGGAAGAAGCAAUGGGCCUUAAUGAGCCUUAGUGGGAAGGACCAGGAGGUGGCACGCGCCCCUCCCAAGCCCAGUCCGAAUUGGACAAGAGGUUUGGGGCGCAACCCCUCUGUCCCUUCCUUCCCCUCUUCCCCCCUUUUCCUCCCUUCUCCUAGUUGGACUAGGAAAGGAGGAAACCUACUCCAACUAGGAGUAGGAAUCCUACUCCCUGGCAUGCCCCUCCUAGGGCCGGCCUCCUCCCCCUUGCUCCUAUAUAUACGGGGGCAGAUGGGCACCUCUAGACACACAAGUUGAUCCACGUGAUCGUUUUCUUAGCCGUGUGCGGUGCCCCCUUCCACCACAAUCCUCGAUAAUAUUGUAGCGGUGCUUAGGUGAAGCCCUGCGACGGUUGAACAUCAAGAUCGUCACCAUGGAGUCGUGCUGACGGAACUCCUCCCCGAAGCUUUGCUGGAUCGGAGCCCGGGGAGCGUCAUCGAGCUGAACGUGUGCCAAGAACUCGGAGGUGCCGGAGUAACGGUGCUUGGAUCGGUUGGACCGGGAAGACGUACGACUACUUCCUCUACGUUGCGUCAACGCUUCCGCUUCGAUCUACGAGGGUACGUAGACAACACUCUCCCCUCUCGUUGCUAUGCAUCACCAUGAUCUUGCGUGUGCAUAGGAAUUAUUUUGAAAUUACUACGUUCCCCAACAAGAGAGUCUUCACAUAGUUGCAUAAUUAUUCGACUACUUAUAUCUUUUAGAGCAUGGUGGUAGUUUUAUUUUGAAGAAAUAGCUGAACUCUCAUGCUUCACUUAGAUUAUUUUGAGAGUCUUAAAUAGCAUGGUAAUUUGCUUAAAAUCCUAAUAUGCUAGGUAUUCAAGAAUAAUAAAAUUCUCUUAUGAGUGUGUUGAAUACUAAGAGUAGUUUGAUACUUGAUGAUUGUUUUGAGAUAUGAGGAUGGUAAUAUUAGAGUCAUGCUAGUUGAGUAGUUGUGAAUUUGAGAAAUACUUGUGUUGAAGUUUGUGAUUCCCGUAGCAUGCACGUAUGAUGAACCGUUAUGUGAUGAAGUCGGAGCAUGAUUUAUUUAUUAAUUGCCUUCCUUAUGAGUGGCGGUCGGGGACGAGCGAUGGUCUUUUCCUACCAAUCUAUCCCCCUAGGAGCAUGCGCGUAGUACUUUGUUUCGAUAACUAAUAGAUUUUUGCAAUAAGUAUGUGAGUUCUUUAUGACUAAUGUUGAGUCCAUGGAUUAUAUGCACUCUCACCCUUCCACUAUUGCUAGCCUCUCUAGUACCGCGCAACUUUAGCCGGUACCAUAAACCCACCAUAUACCUUCCUCAAAACAGCCACCAUACCUACCUAUUAUGGCAUUUCCAUAGCCAUUCCGAGAUAUAUUGCCAUGCAACUUUCCACCGUUUCGUUUAUUAUGACACACUCCAUCAUUGUCACAUUGCUUAGCAUGAUCAUGUACUCCCUCCGUUCCUAAAUAUAAGUCUUUGUAGAGAUUUUACUAUAAACCACAUACGGUGUAUAUAGAUGUAUUUUAGAGUAUGAUUCACUCAUUUUGCUUUGUAUGUAGUCCAUAAUGAAAUCUUUUCAAAGACUUCUAUUUAGGAACGGAGGGAGUAGUUGACAUAGUAUUUGUGACAAAGCCACUAUUCAUAAUUCUUUCAUACUUGUCACUCAUGAGUCAUUGCAUAUCCCGGUACACUGUCGGAGGCAUUCAUAUAGAGUCAUAUCUUGUUCUAAGUAUCGAGUUGUAAUUCUUGAGUUGUAAGUAAAUAAAAGUGUGAUGAUUAUCAUUAUUAGACCAUUGUCCCAGUGAGGAAAGGAUGAUGGAGACUAUGAUUCCCCCAUAAGUCGGGGUGAGACUCCGGACGAAAAUAAAUAAAUAAAAGAGGCCAAAGAAGCCCAAAUAAAAAAAAAGAAAAGAGGCCAGAAAAAAAGAGAAGGCCCAAAUAAAAAUAAAUAAAUAAAUAAAUAAAAUGAGAGAAAAAGAGAGAAGGGGCAAUGCUACUAUCCUUUUACCACACUUGUGCUUCAAAGUAGCACCAUGAUCUUCAUAAUAGAGAGUCUUCUAUGUUGUCACUUUCAUAUACUAGUGGGAAUCUUUCAUUAUAGAACUUGGCUUGUAUAUUCCAAUGAUGGGCUUCCUCAAAAUGCCCUAGGUCUUCGUGAGCAAGCAAGUUGGAUGCACACCCACUUAGUUUCUUUUUGAGCUUUCAUACAUUUAUUGCUCUACUGCAUCUGUUGCAUGGCAAUCCCUACUCACUCACAUUGAUAUCUAUUGAUGGGCAUCACCAUAGCCCGUUGAUACGCCUAGUUGAUGUGAGACUAUCUUCUCCCUUUUUGUCUUCUCCACAACCACCAUUCUAUUCUACCUAUAGUGCUAUGUCCAUGGCUCACGCUCAUGUAUUGCGUGAAGAUUGAAAAAGAUUGAGAACAUCAAAAGUAUGAAACAAUUGCUUGGCUUGUCAUCGGGGUUGUGCAUGAUUUAAAAAUUUUGUGUGGUGAAGAUAGAGCAUAACCAGACUAUAUGAUUUUGUAGGGAUAGCUUUCUUUGGCCAUGUUAUUUUGAGAAGACAUAAUUUCUUAGUUGGUAUGCUUGAAGUAUUAUCAUUUUUAUGUCAAUAUGAACUUUUGUCUUGAAUCUUUCGGAUCUGAAUAUUCAUGCCACAAUUAAGAAGAAUUAAACUGAAAUUAUGGCAAGUAGCACCCCGCAUCAAAAAUUCUGUUUUUAUCAUUUACCUACUUGAGGACGAGCAGGAAUUAAGCUUGGGGAUGCUGAUACGUCUCCAACGUAUCUAUAAUUUUUGAUUGCACUAUGCUAUAUUAUCUACUGUUUUGAAUGUUUAUGGGCUUUAUUAUACACUUUUAUAUCAUUUUUGGGACUAACCAAUUAACCCAGAGCCCAGCGCCAGUUUCUGUUUUUUACCCUGUUUUAGGGUUUCGAAGAAAAGGAAAAUCAAACGGAGUCCAAUUGACCUGAAACUUCACGGAACUCAUUUUUGGAAGGAAAGAAGCCCAGAAGACUUGGAGUGCAUGUCGGGGGAUCUGCGAGGAGGUCACGAGGCAGGGGGCGCAUCCACCCCCCUGGGCGCGCCCUCCACCCUCGUGAGCCCUUCGUGGCCCCCCUGACGUACUUCUUCUGCCUAUAUAUAUCUACACAUACCCUAAAAACAUCCGUGAGCGGAAUAGAUCAGGAGUUCCGCCGUCAUAAACCUCCGUAGCCACCGAAAGCCAAUCUAGACCCGUUUCGGCACCCUGCCGGAGGGGGCAAUCCUUCUUCAGUGGCCAUCUUCAUCAUCCCGGUGCUCUCCAUGACGAGGAGGGAGUAGUUCUCCCUCGAGGCUGAGGGUAUGUACCAGUAGCUAUGUGUUUGAUCUCUCUCUCGUGUUCUUGAGAUGAUACGAUCUUGAUGUAUCGCCAGCUUUGCUAUUAUAUUUGGAUCCUAUGAUGUUUCUUCCCCCCUCUACUCUCAUGUAAUGAAUUGAGUUUCCCCUUUGAAGUUAUAUUAUCGGAUUGAGUCUUUAAAGAUUUGAGAACACUUGAUGUAUGUAUUGCUGUGGAUAUCUGUGGUGACACUGGGAUAUCACGUGAUUCACUUGAUGUAUGUUUUGGUGAUCAACUUGCGGGUUCCGCCCAUGAACCUAUGCAUAGGGGUUGGCACAUGUUUUUGUCAUGAUUCUCCGGUAGAAACUUUGGGGCACUCUUUGAGGUCCUUUGUGUUGGUUGAAUAGAUGAAUCUGAGAUUGUGUGAUGCAUAUCGUAUAAUCAUACCCACGGAUACUUGAGGUGACAUUGGAGUAUCUAGGUGACAUUAGGGUUUUGGUUGAUUUGUGUCUUAAGGUGUUAUUCUAGUAUGAACUCUAGGGUUGUUUGUGACACCUAUAGCAAUAGCCCAACGGAUUGAUUGGAAAGAAUAACUUUGAGGUGGUUUCGUACCCUACCAUAAUCUCUUCGUUCGUUCUCCGCUAUUAGUGACUUUGGAGUGACUCUUUGUUGCAUGUUGAGGGAUAGUUAUGUGAUCCAAUUAUGUUAGUAUUGUUGAGGGAACUUACACUAGCGAAAGUAUGAACCCUAGGCCUUAUUUCCUAGCAUUGCAAUACCGUUUACGCUCACUUUUAUCAUUAGUUACCUUGCUGUUUUUAUAUUUUCAGAUUACAAAAACCUUUAUCUAGUAUCCAUAUUGCACUUGUAUCACCAUCUCUUUGCCGAACUAGUGCACCUAUACAAUUUACCAUUGUAUUGGGUGUGUUGGGGACACAAGAGACUCUUUGUUAUUUGGUUGCAGGGUUGCUUGAGAGAGACCAUCUUCAUCCUACGCCUCCUACGGAUUGAUAAACCUUAGGUCAUCCACUUGAGGGAAAUUUGCUACUGUCCUACAAACCUCUGCACCUUGAGGCCCAACAAUGUCUACAAGAAGAAGGUUGUGUAGUACACACCAAGAUCCGAUGCGUUGUCAUCACAAUUUUAUCAUUGCAGUUCUGGAAUAUCUGAGUUCACAGACAUCGAAAAUCUUUUUUUAUGCAGUUGUUGGUGAGAUAACCUCGACGCCACCCAGUACCGGGGCGGGAGUUCGGGAGUAUUGCCAUAACUCGUAUAACGGAUGCUUUUUGAAGGUCGAGGUACAUGAUUUCCGAAGGUUUCUUGGUUAUGUGUUGGAGGAUGGAUACAACUGGAUAUAUGAUUUGUUAGUUUGGGUGAGAUAUUAUGCUUCCCUUGUAUCCCCAACACCUGAUUGCAUAACCAGAAAGUUUCGGGAAUUUUAUAAGUGGGAAUUCAAGUAGCUCUAGUAUUUCUUCCCGCAAAUAUUUGGUUUGUGAUUAGGUAAUCCUUACCACUUAUUUGUUCAUAUCCGUACCUUGUUGCUUUAUUCAUCUACCUUUAUCUAAGUGGAUUCUCAACUUAAUUUACGUGUGAUGUUUUACCUUGGAAUUCAUUCGUUCAUCCUUGUUCGAAUGUUAAGACUAUAUGUUGCAAUUUCGAUCCAUUGGUUCAGCUUGAAUAUAUAUCUUUCAAAAAUUCUAAAGGAUGUCAACCUCUUCAGGAUGGCUCCUCCAAUGCGUCAGAAUCCGGACCACAAUGAUGGGGAUCAGUCAAACCCUUCGCCACCACCUCCACCUCCGGAGGCAUGGCAAGUUGUCAUGGCAGCCACCAACGCCAACACUCAGACGCUUUUGCAACUCUUGCAAGAGCGCAACCAAGGGCAAGGCAACCAAGGAAAUCAAGGCCAAGGCAACAAUCAGCCUCAGUUUGUGUAACAUCCCAAAUUUUCAAUUUGGAAUGUUAUACACUAGAUCAUCAUGCAUAUCAAAUUUUAUUUUGCAUUUUGGUUGAUCCUAGAAAUUCUACGCAACUCAAUGACCCACGGAGAGAGUUGGGGAUUUCGUUAUUUUCAUAUUUGAGUUCUCUCAAAUUUUGAGAAUAGGAUCAUUUAAUUUUAUUUAUUUUAUCAUCAAUUAUUUCUAUUACAAAAAUAUGAGAGAGGGAAUAAAAUGACUUUCCCGAAAUAAAGAAAUAUUGAGGAUUUAAUAAAAAAAUCAAAUAAGUUUUUAUUUCGGAGUUUUUCGGUGUUUUAUUUGAAUUUAGGAAAAAAUUGUGUUCUUCAAAAUUGCAUUUAGGGCCCAAAUAAAUGUUCACCUUGUGCGGCUUGAUUUUAGAAGCCCGUGAAAAUUUAUUUCGGAAUUGUUGGAGUCCGUUUAGUAUUUCUUUUUAUUUUUCUUACGAGCGGAAUAAUUAAAAAAAUGAACCGACUUCGGGCCGUACCCGAGCGGGACACCGCCCGGGGGCAACCUUUAAAUAGCGCCGCCCCGCGCCGCCCCAGCCCAUCAGCCCCGCCUCGAUCCGCGCGCGCCGUCGGAGCCGCCGCCGCCGACGAUCCCGCCAUCGAGGUUCGUCGCAACUCGUUUUCCGUGCCGAAAAAAAUCAGCGUUCGUCGUUUUUCUUUUUCUCGUAUUAAAUCUGCGAUUUUUCUGAUCGCGAUUCCUGAUCCAAUUUUCGUUUUAGUUUAACUUUUCGCUCGUUUAUCGGAAUCAGGCGAUUCAAGCGCCUAGGGAUUCAUCUCGAAACCCUCUAUCUGUUUAACCAACUUAAACAAGAUUUUGUUACUGUAAAAUUUGCCCUAGAUCCAGAUUAGUAGAACAAAGUUGUUUUCUUUCACAGUUUGAUUUUCGUUGCUUCGUUCGAUUUGAUUCUUUUUGCCAACCGGAGUUCUUAAGUUGAACCUUCUGGUUAGAUCUCUUAUUUGAGUUUUACCUGUGCAUUAGAUGAGUACUUAUUGUAUGCUUGUUUGUUUGUCUGCGAUAGAAUACCCGGAGUGCGCCGCCUGUUACUUCGAAUCGUUAGGUUUCGCAGAUCAUCAGCAAGGCAAGUAACACUUUGAUCAUACCUUUUCUACUACCAAGUUUUAUUGCAUUAGAUCAACCCUCACACAUUGCAUGAUUAGGAUCUAAUUAAAUUGUGGGAUGAGAAGUAGAUGAGGUAGUACCUAUUGCCUGUUUAUUUUCAAACCUUUGGGAGUUACUUCUACGUUUGCUUAUUGUGCCAUGCUAUGCUAGUAGACGUGGAUUGGGUGAGUGAAAUCCAUGACAGAUGUGAGAUUGUUAAUUAAUGGUUUAUCUAAGGUGGCAACUUAAACACACAUCUGGGUGGAUUGAGGCACCUGGGUAUUCCAGGACUUGCAUGUUUUCUUUUGGACCGCCACCCAUGCUCAAAGGGAUCAUGAGACUAUUCAUACUAGAAACUUCCGUGUGCAGCCACAAGCUAUUAUGGGCUCUAGCAUAGUUGACUAAGUCGUGCGAACUCUUAUAGUGGUAGACUAGCAGAUGUAGGGGAUGUAGGUGGUACAGUCUACCCAUCGUAAGGUGCUAGCGCUUCUGAAAGACUAUGUCUCGGUCAUCUGUCUUCUCAAACACCAUGUAGUGCGAGAAACCAAACGGAGGCGAUCGAGUCUUAUGGGGAAAAGUGCGCAAACCUCUGCAGAGUGUAAUAAACUUAUCAUGGUUAGCCGUGUCCCCGGUUAUGGACAUCUUGAGUAUCUAGUACUUGGAUUUUCAUGUGAAUCUCAACAUGUUACUCUAAAUUAAUUUUGUUGGGUUAUGAUGAUGCUUAAUUGGGAUUGAGAAUGCUGUCAACCAUUCUCAAUGUUUAACAACCACCUUGAUAGCAAUUAAAUUUUAUUCCUUUGAAGUAGGGAAAAAUUGGCUUUAUGCAAAACUGUAACCAUAGAGCUUUCCACCAGCCAAAUAUGCAUAUAGUAUAGCUAUUUCAUUCCAUUACUCUCUAUGUGUUACCUUGCCAACAUAUUCCAUGUGCUGACCCGUUUUCGGGCUGCAACGUUAAUGUUGCAAACUUUUCAGACGACGAUUAAGGAGUUUUUAGGUCGUGGUUCUAUACUCAGUGAUGCCGUUGGAGUUGAUGGACUCACUUAUCUUCCAAGCCUUCCGCUGUUAUCGUUAUUAGAUGGCCUUAAGCCAUACUUAUUGUAAGAAGUUCUCUUUUGAGACACUCGAUGUAAUAAGUGUGUGAUUGCUACUCUAUUAUAAAUCCUCCGAGUACUGUGUGGUGUCAGCAUUACUGAUCCAGGGAUGACACCGGAGCACAGAGAUCAGACUGUUUGAGGUCUGGUUGCUACAGAGAUGGUAUCAGAGCACACGCUGACUGUAGGACACGACCACUAAGCUAAAGACCUAGAUCACUAUUCACUCUCUUCUCUUCUGACCUCUCAUCUUUUCUACUCUUUAGGAUGGCGGAUGCAAGGAACAAGUUCACACAACCGGAUGAAGAUACACCCUUUGGACGCCACUUGAAGGAAGUCACUAGAUACCUGAACAUAGGAGUACCAAGCUUCACAGGAACCUACAAUGCCACUUUACCUGAAGAAGAGCGCUGGAUGAUUCAAGUUCAAGUUCCAGGAAGGACGUUUAUGCCAGUCACUGAGCCCAUAGAAUUUUCUUUUGAUGCACCAACUUGGAGUCUAGGAAAGAGCAUGGCAGCUCACAUCACCAUGGGACGCAUUGGAGAAGUCUACCGCAAGGAUCUCAAGGAUACUAUCUACCAGAUUUAUGGGCGCCGAGAUGAACACUGGGAGAUCAUCAGCACCAGGAAGGAUAGAUCAAUCACAGCUUUUAUCCAGGAGCUAAACCAGCACAUUCGACGACAGGAGAACCAGAUGUGCACCGACAUGAUAGACCUGAAGAAGGCUAAGACUAGAAUCAAGGAACUGGAGGAAGAACUCAAGGCUACACAUGAAGAUUAUGAAGAGGAAAUUGAAGUAUUGGUGGAGAAGAAUGACGACCUGAUCAAGAAGAUUGGAAUAUUUAUGGGAGGCCCUACGCCAGUAGAUGAAGACGAAGAACCUCAGGAAAUUAGCCCGGAAGACUACAUCAUCAUCGACGGCACCGACUCGGAAGCAGAUAGUAGUGAUGAUGACUAUGUUGAUGAAGCUGGAGCAGAUAUCAUGGAGUCAACGACUGAAGAAUAUUUCUAGUAGACCACCUCAUCAGUAGUAGUAGUCCACCAUGUAAAUAUAGUAGUCCGAGCACUUUUGCGAUAGAUAGAUUGAUUGUAUGCCCUUGUUUGAUUGAUAGUGAAUUGUUUGUUUUGCCUCAUGUGCAUAUGGGUAGUGUUUUCUCUUUAGACCCCCUCUAUUCUUAUAUCUCAUCUUUUCUAAACCCUCAGAUGCCUCCGAGACGUGACCCCGGAUUUGCCUUUCCAACCCAAGCCCUAGGUCACCCAUGUUAGUAACCUCGCCCGGAGCAGAGUAUGUGGCUAGUCUAUGGUGUGAUCGGUUACCAUUAAGGAUUGGUAACUAUGUUUUUCCCUCAGACCUAAUAGUAUUGGAAUCUCAAGGAUUGGAUGUGAUAUUAGGCAUGGAUUGGUUAUCAAAGUAUGAAGGGAAUAUUGAGUGUGCUAGUAAGUCAAUUUUUCUUACCACCCCAGAAGGGAGAAGGAUCAAGUAUGUAUCCCGACAUGUGCCAAAGAGGACUCAAGUAAAUUGCCUAGUAGGAGUUGUGCAGGAGGAAGUAUGAGUGGUAAGGGAUUUCCCUGAUGUAUUUCCAGAGGAGUUGCCAGGCAUGCCACCGGAUAGAGAUAUUGAGUUUUUGAUUGAGCUAUUGCCAGGCACAGGUCCAAUAUCAAAGAGACCAUAUAGGAUCCCAGCAAAGGAUUUGGUGGAAAUUAAGAAGCAGAUUAAGGAGUUACUGGAUAAGGGAUAUAUUCGCCCAAGUUCUUCGCCUUGGGGACCGCCAGUACUUCUAGUGGAGAAAAAAAAUGGAUCGUUAAGGAUGGUUGUUGAUUAUCGAGGAUUGAAUGAAGUAACGAUCAAGAACAAGUACCCACUACCAGUGGUCAAUGAUCUGUUUGAUCGAUUGCAAGGAGCUAAGGUAUUUUCCAAGAUCGAUCCGCGAUCAGGAUACCACCAGUUGAAGAUUCGAGAACAGGAUAUUCCGAAGACAACUUUUACCACCAGGUACGGGCUAUACGAGUAUACCGUUAUGUCAUUUGCUCUGACUAACGCACCUGCCUAUUUUAUGAACAUGAUGAACAAAGUGUUUAUGGAGUUUUUGGAUAAGUUCAUCGUAGUGUUCAUUGAUGAUAUCCUGGUUUAUUCAAAGAAUGAAGAGGAGCAUAAGGAGCAUUUGCGUUUGGUACUUGGAAAGCUCAGAGAACAUCAAUUAUAUGCCAAGUUCAGCAAAUGUGAGUUUUGGUUGAAGGAAGUAGGAUUCCUCGGACAUGUUAUAUCUGGAGAAGGUAUAGCAGUAGAUCCCGCUAAAGUUGAAACCGUGACCAAGUGGAAAGCCCCAACAACAGUUGGAGAGAUCCGGAGUUUUCGUGGACUCGCAGGAUACUACCGAAGAUUUAUUGUGAAUUUCUCAAAGAUUGCAAAGCCUAUGACUGAGUUGUUAAAGAAAGAUACCAAGUUCAUAUGGACAGAGGAAUGUGAGGCUAGUUUCCAGGAAUUGAAGAAACGUUUGGUUACCUCACCAGUGUUGAUUUUGCCAGACCAGACCAAAGAUUAUGAGGUGUAUUGCGACGCUUCACGUCGAGGACUGGGAGCAGUGCUUAUGCAGGAAGGGAGAGUUGUUUCAUAUGCCUCAAGACAACUGAAGCCUCAUGAGUUGAAUUAUGCCACGCAUGAUUUGGAGUUAGCAGCUGUAGUGCAUGCAUUGAAGACAUGGAGACAUUUCCUCAUUGGAAAUCAUUGUGAGGUGUACACGGAUCAUAAGAGUUUGAAGUACAUUUUCACACAAAAGGAGUUAAAUCUCAGACAAAGGAGAUGGUUGGAGCUUAUCAAGGAUUAUGAUAUGAAAUUGCAUUAUCAUCCUGGAAAGGCUAAUGUAGUAGCUGACGCAUUAAGCCAUAAGAGCCAUGUCAAUACAUUAAUGACGGGAGAAAUACCCAAGGGAGUUAGCCAAAAAUCUUCGUGAACUAUGUUUGGAAAUAGUUCCGAGAGGUUAUGUAGCAGCAUUGGAGAUUCAGUCAACUUUGAUGGAUAGAAUCAGAGAAGCUCAGAAAACUGACAAAGAGAUUGCCGCUAUAAAGGAGAAACUGAGCAAAGGAAAAGCUAAAGGAUUCCGUGAGGAUAAGCACGACACCCUAUGGUUUGAAGACCGCGUUUAUGUGCCCAAUGACCCGGAGAUCAGGAAGUUGAUUUUACAAGAGGCACACGACUCACCGUAUUCAAUUCACCCAAGAAAUACCAAGAUGUAUCUGGAUUUGAAGGAUAUUUUCUGGUGGACCGAAAUGAAGAAGGAUAUUGUGGAGUAUGUAGUAGUUUGUGAUGUAUGUCAGAGAGUAAAGGCAGAGCAUCAGAAGCCAGCAGGAUUGUUACAACCAUUGCCGAUACCCGAAUGGAAGUGGGAUAAGUUAGGCAUGGAUUUUUAUCACGGGAUUGCCCAGGACUCGUUCAGGCUAUGACUCGAUUUGGGUUGUAGUUGAUCGAUUGACGAAAGUAGCUCAUUUCAUCCCAGUAAAGACCACUUAUACCAGUGCUAAGUUGGCAAAGAUAUACAUGACCAGGAUCGUAUGUUUGCAUGGAGUUCCAAGGAGUAUCGUAUCAGAUAGAGGAACCUAGUUUACCUCAAAGUUCUAGAAGCAGUUGCACGAAACUUUGGGAACCAGGCUAGAAUUCAGUACAACCUUUCAUCCACAGACAGAUGGACAGACCGAGAGAGUCAAUCAGAUUUUGGAAGAUAUGCUGAGAGCUUGUGCGCUAGAUUACGGAUCUAGUUGGGACGAUAAUUUGCCAUAUGCAAAGUUCUCUUACAACAACAGUUACCAAACCAGUUUAAGGAUGGCCCCUUUCGAAGCCUUGUACGGAAGGAGGUGCAGGACACCGUUGUCAUGGGACGAAGUUGGAGACCGCUAGUUGUUUGGUCCCGACUUGAUUAAAGAGUCUGAACAGAAGGUGAAGCUGAUUUGCAAUAGGCUCAAGGUAGCCCAGUCCAGACAGAAAAGUUAUGCAGAUUCUAAACGCAAGGAGACAAUUUACGAAGUCGGAGACAGAGCUUAUCUUCGAGUAUCUCCACUUCAGGGAACAAAGCGUUUUUGAGUUAAAGGGAAGUUAGCACCACGAUUUGUAGGACCAUAUCGAGUUUUGGAGCGUAUGGGAGAAGUGGCCUACAAGUUGGAAUUACCCGAAGGAUUGUCAGGAGUACAUGAUGUGUUCCACGUUUCUCAGUGAAAGAAAUGUCACGCGGAGAUGGCUGACAUAGACACAGUGCCUUUGGAAACUAUUCAGUUGGAUAACGAUUUGACCUACGAGGAGAAACCAAUUAAGAUCCUCGAGUUUGCCAGUCGAGUUACUCGCAGCAAGGUUAUCAAGUUUUGCAAAGUUCAGUGGAGCCACCACACGGAGGAUGUAGCCACCUGGGAACGAGAGGAAGAUUUGCUCAAAGACCACCCUCACCUAUUUUCUAGCCAACCCGAAUCUCGAGGGCGAGAUUCAUCUUAAGGGGGGUAGGUUUGUAACAUCCCAAAUUUUCAAUUUGGAAUGUUAUACACUAGAUCAUCAUGCAUAUCAUAUUUUAUUUUGCAUUUUGGUUGAUCCUAGAAAUUCUACGCAACUCAAUGACCCACGGAGAGAGUUGGGGAUUUCGUUAUUUUCAUAUUUGAGUUCUCUCAAAUUUUGAGAAUAGGAUCAUUUGAUUUUAUUUAUUUUAUCAUCAAUUAUUUCUAUUACAAAAAUAUGAGAGAGGGAAUAAAAUGACUUUCGCAAAAUAAAGAAAUAUUGAGGAUUUAAUAAAAAAAUCAAACAAGUUUUUAUUUCGGAGUUUUUCGGUGUUUUAUUUGAAUUUAGGAAAAAAGUACGUUUUUCAAAAUUGCAUUUAGGGCCCAAAUAAAUGUUCAACUUGUGCGCUUGAUUUUAGAAGCCCGUGAAAAUUUAUUUCGGAAUUUUUGGAGUCUGUUUAGUAUUUCUUUUUAUUUUUCUUCCGAGCAGAAUAAUUAAAAAAAACGAACCGACUUCGGGCCGUACCCGAGCGGGACACCGCCCGGGGGCAGCCUUUAAAUAGCGCCGCCCUGAGCCGCCCUAGCCCAUCAGCCUCGCCUCGAUCCGCGGGCGCCACCGCCGCCGCCGAUCCCGCCGUCGAGGUUCGUCGCACCUCGUUUUCCGUGCCGGAAAAAAUCGGCGUUCGUUGUUUUUCUUUUUCUUGGAUUAAAUUCGCGAUUUUUCUGAUUGCGAUUCCUGAUCUGAUUUUCGUUUUAGUUUAACUUUUCACUCGUUUAUCGGAAUCAGGCGAUUCAAGCGCCUAGGGAUUUGUCUCGAAACCCUCUACCUGUUUAACCAACUUAAACAAGAUUUUGUUACUGUAAAAUUUGCCCUAGAUCCAGAUUAGUAGAACGAAGUUGUUUUCUUUCGCAGUUUGAUUUUCGUUGCUUCGUUCAAUUUGAUUCUUUUUGCCAACCGGAAUUUUUAAGUUGAACCUUCUGGUUAGAUCUCUUAUUUGAGUUUUACCUGUGCAUUAGAUGAGUACUUAUUGUAUGCUUGUUUGUUUGUCUGCGGUAGAAUACCCGGAGUGCGCCGCCUGUUACUUCGAAUCGUUAGGUUUCGCGGAUCAUCAGCAAGGCAAGUAACACUUUGAUCAUACCUUUUCUACUACCCAGUUUUAUUGCAUUAGAUCAACCCUCACACAUUGCAUGAUUAGGAUCUAAUUAAAUUGUGGGAUGGGAAGUAGAUGAGGUAGUACCAAUUACCUGUUUAUUUUCAAACCUUUGGGAGUUACUUCUACAUUUGCUUAUUGUGCCAUGCUAUGCUAGUAGACGUGGAUUGGGUGACUGAAAUCCAUGACAGAUAUGAGAUUGUUAAUUAAUGGUUUAUCUAAGGUGGCAACUUAAACACACAUCUGGGUGGACUGAGGCACCUGGGUAUUCCAGGACUUGCCUAUUUUCUUUUGGACCGCCACCCAGGCUCAAAGGGAUCAUGAGACUAUUCAUACUAGAAACUUCCGUGUGCAGCCACAAGCUAUUAUGGGCUCUAGCAUAGUUGACUAAGUUGUGCGAACUCUUACAGUAGUAGACUAGCAGAUGUAGGGGAUGUAGGUGGUACGGUCUACCCAUCGUAAGGUGCUAGCGCUUCUGAAAGACUAUGUCUCGGUCAUCCGUCUUCUCAAACACCAUGUAGUGCGAGAGACCAAACGGAGGCGAUCGAGUCUUGUGGGGAAAAGUGCGCAAACCUCUGCAGAGUGUAAUAAACUAAUCAUGGUUAGCCGUGUCCCCGGUUAUGGACAUCUUGAGUAUCUAGUACUUGGAUUUUCAUGUGAAUCUCAACAUGUUACUCUAAAUUAAUUUUGUUGGGUUAUGAUGAUGCUUAAUUGGGAUUGAUAAUGCUGUCAACCAUUCUUAAUGUUUAACAACCGCCUUGAUAGUAAUUAAAUUUUAUUCCUUUGAAGUAGGGAAAAAUUGGCUUUACGCAAAACUGUAACCAUAGAGCUUUCCACCAGCCAAAUAUGCAUAUAGUAUAGCUGUUUCAUUCCAUUACUCUCUAUGUGUUACCUUGCCAGCAUAUUCCAUGUGCUGACCCGUUUUCGGGCUGCAAUGUUAAUGUUGCAGACUUUUCAGACGAUGAUUAAGGAGUUUUUAGGUCGUGGUUCUAUACUCAGUGAUGCCGUUGGAGUUGAUGGACUCACUUAUCUUGCAAGCCUUCCACUGUUAUCGUUAUUAGAUGGCCUUAAGCCAUACUUAUUGUAAUAAGUUCUCUUUUGAGAUACUCGAUGUAAUAAGUGUGUGAUUGCUACUCUGUUAUAAAUCCUCCGAGUACUGUGUGGUGUCAGCAUUACUGAUCCAGGGAUGACACCGAAGCACAGAGAUCAGACUGUUUGAGGUCUGGUCGCUACAGUUUGCUACCCUCAACCAGUUCCUCGGAAACCAGCCGAAGUCCUUCAGCAACUGUGUCGAGGCCACAUACACCGACGAUUGGCUCGUGGACAUCUGCAAACAUUUUGAAUGUAGCAAUGUCAGACCUGAGGACUUUGUCAAGUUUGCUUUGUUUCAACUCAAGGAUCAAGCUGCUGAGUGGUAUCAACAAUACAGAGAUUCUAGAGGAGGUCGUGUGAUUACCUAGGAUGAUUUCCACCGAGACUUCAAAGCUCAUCACAUUCCACCAAGCGUUGCUGAGAGCAAGCGUGAGGAGUUCCGCAAUCUCAAGCAAGGCAGCAUGUCCGUGUAUUAAUACAAUAUCCAGUUUCUGAAACUUGCUCGCUUCGCUAAACAAGACGUUCCUGAUGAAAAGAGUAUGAUCUAUCAAUUCAGAGGUGGCCUCAGAGAAGAUCUACAAUUAGCUUUCGUGCUUCUUGAGCCGACCAAGUUUGAUCAAUUCUACAACAUGGCACUAAAGCAAGAAGCUGCUCAGCUCAAGUGUGAGGCAUCUAAGAAGAGAGUCAGGGACGCAGUUCAGUGUUCUUCCUCACAAGUGGCAGCUAAGCAACAGAAGUUCUGGUUGCCUCCUCCUCCUCCGUUUCGUCAGCCCUACCAACAGAAGAGCAAAGGUGGCAAUGGAUCUUCCCACCCACCCAACCCAGGCUAUCAGAACAAAGCUCAUUCUCAAACUCCAAGGUCAAGUGCUCCUUAUCACCGUCCGCUCUCAGAGGUUACUUGCAACAAGUGUCAGCAGAAAGGGUACUAUGCAAACAAGUGCUUCAACCCAAGGCGCCUUCCGCCUCCUCCUCCUGUGAGAUCUGCCAGCAAUGCAGUGGUCAAGCAUAAUCCCAAGCAUGCUAAGGUGAACAUGUUGAACGUAGCUUAGGCAGAGGAUUCUUCAGAAGUGAUCGGGUAAUCUUCGUGUUAAUGAUAUUCCUGCAAAAGUCUUAUUUGGUACUGGUGCAUAGCAUUCUUUCAUGUCAUAUCCUUUUGCAUCGAAGCACAGUUUUGGCACUAAGGUAUUACCUAAAGCUUUGCAAGUUGUUUCUCCGGCUAAGCGUUUGAGCUCUAGCAUGAUGGUUCCGAAUGUCGGUAUCGAGAUGGGUAACUAUAAAUUUCUGGCUUCUCCAAUUGUUCUUGGUGACUCGGAUAUUGAUCUAAUUCUUGACAUGGACUGGCUUUCUAAGCACAAGACUCUGCUUGAUUGUGCUACCAGAGAAAUUCAAUUGACACACUCUUAUGGGACGAAACCAUUCAAUUGUUUCCUCUCAAUGAGAAGGGUGAGUUGGAUGCCAUCUCUCAGAUUCCAGUCGUUUGUGAAUAUCAAGACGUCUUUCCAGAAGAGCUUCCGGGAAUGCCUCCUCACCGGCCAGUUGAAUUCGUUAUCGAUCUUGAGCCUGGCAUGGAACCCGUUUGCAAGCGUCCUUACAAGCUUGGACCAAAGGAAUUGGAGGAAUUGAAGAAACAACUCGAUGAACAAGAGCGUCUGGGUCUGAUCAGACCGAGUUCAUCUCCGUGGGGUUGUGGUGUUCUUUUUUUCUAGAAGAAGGUUGGCACGGACCGACUUUCUGUCGACUACCGCCCAUUGAACAAGAAGACAAUAAAGAACAAGUAUCCACUUCCCAACAUCAAUGAGCUAUUCGAGCAACUGAAAGGGGCCAAAGUAUUCUCCAAGCUUGACCUCCGUAUGGGUUAUCAUCAGAUUCACAUUCGUGAAGAAGAUAUGCCCAAGACAGCAUUCAGAACAAGCUAUGGUUCUUAUGAAUAUACUGUCAUGUCUUUUGGCCUUGUCAAUGCUCCUCCAACAUUCUCUCGCAUGAUGAACUUCAUCUUCAACCCUUACACAAAUGAUUUCGUCCUGGUGUAUCUAGAUGAUAUCUUGGUAUUUUCCAAGAAUAAGGAGGAUCAUGCCAAGCAUUUGAGAUUGGUGCUUGACAAACUCAGAGAGCAUCAAUUCUAUGCGAAGUUCUCCAAGUGUAAGUUCUGCCUUGAUGAAGUUCUUUACCUUGGUCAUAUCAUCUCCACCAAAGGCAUCACUGUUAAUCCUGAGAAGGUUUCUACAAUUGUGAAUUGGGAGCCUCCUCAGAAUGUCAAGCAGCUCCGCAGUUUUCUUGGGCUUGCAAGCUAUUGUCGAAGAUUCGUUGAGAAUUUCUCUAAGAUUGCAAAGCCUCUUUCCAACCUCCUCCAGAAGCAUGUCAAGUAUGUCUGGAUGCCUGAAUGUGAUGUUGCUUUCAACACCCUCAAAGAGAAGCUGGUCACAUCUCCUAUCUUGACUCCUCCUGAUGAAUCCAAGCCAUUUGAAGUUUUCUGUGAUGCCUCCUUACAAGGUCUCGGUGCUGUGUUAAUGCAAGAGAAGAAAGUUGUGGCUUAUACCUCUCGUCAGUUGAAGCCCAACGAAAGGAACUACCCUACUCACGACCUUGAGUUGGCGGCAAUUGUCCAUGCAUUAUUAACAUGGAGACAUCUCUUGUUGGGAAGGAAAGUGGACAUAUUCACAGAUCAUAAGAGCCUCAAGUACAUCUUCACUCAACCCAACCUCAACCUCAGGUAGACUCGUUGGGUCGAAAUGAUUCAAGAAUACAAUUAGAGUAUUGAAUAUACUCCAGGCAAGGCCAAUGUCAUUGCAGAUGCUUUGAGCAGGAAGGCUUACUUCAACAGCUUAAUUCUCAAGCCCUUCCAACCGGACCUUUGUGAAGCUUUCCGCAAACUGAAUCUCCAAGUUGUUCCUCCAGGCUUUCUUGCCAACCUCGAAGUCUCUUCUACUUUGGAAGAUCAAAUUCGUGAGGCACAACUCCUGGAUUCCAUGGUGAAGAAGGUGAAACAUGGGAUUUCCAAGGGCCAACCCAAAUACAAGUGCUAUCGCAUUGAUGACAAAGACACCCUAUUCUUUGAGCAUCGGAUUGUGGUUCCUAGAGGUGAUCUAAGGAAAGUCUUUAUGAAUGAGGCGCACAAUUCCCUUCUAUACAUUCAUCCUGGAAGUACGAAGAUGUACCAUGAUCUCAAGCAGUCGUAUUGGUGGACUCGAAUGGAGCGAGAAAUCACUCAAUUCAUGAAUGAAUGUGAUGUCUGCAGAAGAGUGAAAGCAGAACACCAAUGACCAACUGGUCUCCUCCAACCUCUUGCUAUUCCAGAAUGAAAGUUUGACCAUAUUGAAAUGGACUUCGUGACUGGAUUUCCCAAGUCCAAGCGUGGAAAUGAUGCUAUCUUCGUUGUCAUCGACAAGCUUACUAAAGUGGCUCAUUUCCUUCCAAUCAAAGAAUCUAUCACAGCAGCUCAGCUGGCAGAGUUAUACACCUCCAGGAUUGUCUCCUUGCACGGCAUUCCACAAUUGAUAUCUUCAGAUCGUGGAAGCAUUUUCACCUACAAGUUCUGGGACUCUUUCUAGAAGGCCAUGGGCACCAACAUUCGGUUCAGCACAGCCUUCCAUCCUCAAACUAGUGGCCAAGUCGAGCGAGUCAAUCAAAUCCUUGAAGAUAUGCGCAGGGCUUGUGUCAUUUCCUUUGGUAUGAAGUGGGAAGAUUGUCUUCCAUAUGCCGAGUUCUCCUACAACAACAGCUUCCAAGCGAGUUCGGACAAGGCCCCAUUCGAGAUUCUCUAUGGCAGAAAGUGCCGUACUCCUCUCAAUUGGUCAGAGACUGGUGAACGCCAACUUCUUGGCAAUGACUUCAUCACAGAAGCUGAAGAAAUUUGUAAAGUCAUCCCUGAAAAUCUCAAAGCCGCGCAAUCACGCCAGAAGAGUUACUAUGAUAGCAAGCACCGUGACUUGGCUUUCGAGAUCGGAGACCAUGUCUACCUCCGUGUCUCUCCAAUGAAAGGCACUCGUCGUUUCGGUAUCAAAGGGAAGCUUGCCCCUAGAUACGCGGGUCCUUUCAAGAUCAUUGGCAAAAGAGGCGACCUUGCCUAUCAACUUGUGCUUCCGUCCAACUUCGCAAACGUGCACGAUGUGUUUCAUGUGUCACAGCUUCGCCAGUGCUUCAAGACUCUUGAGCGCACCAUCAACUUUGAAGAGAUUGAUCUCCAAGAAGAUCUGUCUUAUCAUGAGCAUCCCGUUGCUAUUCUUGAAGAAACUGAGCACAAGACUCGCAACAAGUCAAUCAAAUUCCUGAAAGUGAAGUGGUCACACCAUUCCGACUGAGAAGCCACCUGGGAGCGCGAGGAUCACCUCCGUUCUGAAUAUCCAGAGUUCUUUCAGUGCUAGAUCUCGGGACGAGAUCCUCUCAUAGUGGUGGAGUGUUGUAACACCCCAGAUGUAACUUGCCAUAUUUGUAACUCCGGCUCUUGCCAUUUUCGGCUUUAAGUUAUGAGAUUUCCUUCAUGGUUGAGUUUUUGUCUUCGUUUUGCAUUUUGUUCAUGUCAUGCAUUUCAUAUCAUGUCAUCAUGAGCAUCGCAUUUGCAUUCGUGUUCGUCUCAUGCAUCCGAGCAUUUUCCUCGUUGUCCAUUUUGCAAUCCGACACUCCCACAUGCACCGGCGCACCCCUCUUUCCCCUUUUUGUGAGCGGGAGUUAAACGUUCUUGGAAUGGACCGAGAUUUGUCAAGUGGCCUUGGUACACCACCGGUAGACCGCCAGUAAAAUUUCGUUCCAUUUGGAGGCCUUUUGAUGCUCCAACGGUUAACCGGGUGACCGAAAAAGCCUCGUGUGUGUUGCAGCCGAACACCCCUACAAAACAGCCCAAUAACCCAUCUAAACCACUUCCAUGUCCUCCAUCGUCGGAUCACGAUCGUUUGGGUGAAAAAUACACCUCAUUUGGACAUUCCAAACUCCCUCUACCUAUAUAUAUAUAUAUAUAUAUAUAUAUAUAUAUAUAUAUAUAUAUAUAUAUAUAUGUCUCCCCCUGAAAAUCGCAGUCUAACCCUAGCUCUCCCUCUCCUCGUGCCGCCGGACUAAAACGCCGCCGCCGGACGUGUCCGUCGGCCACGUCUCCCCCACCAAUACGGCUCCGCCACAUUAGCCUUGUCGCCGCCGCAUCUUAUCGGGGGCCGCCGCGUGGACUGGCCGCGUCGCUCCGCCACCGCGCGCUGCCGCGGCCUANNNNNNNNNNNNNNNNNNNNNNNNNNNNNNNNNNNNNNNNNNNNNNNNNNNNNNNNNNNNNNNNNNNNNNNNNNNNNNNNNNNNNNNNNNNNNNNNNNNNNNNNNNNNNNNNNNNNNNNNNNNNNNNNNNNNNNNNNNNNNNNNNNNNNNNNNNNNNNNNNNNNNNNNNNNNNNNNNNNNNNNNNNNNNNNNNNNNNNNNNNNNNNNNNNNNNNNNNNNNNNNNNNNNNNNNNNNNNNNNNNNNNNNNNNNNNNNNNNNNNNNNNNNNNNNNNNNNNNNNNNNNNNNNNNNNNNNNNNNNNNNNNNNNNNNNNNNNNNNNNNNNNNNNNNNNNNNNNNNNNNNNNNNNNNNNNNNNNNNNNNNNNNNNNNNNNNNNNNNNNNNNNNNNNNNNNNNNNNNNNNNNNNNNNNNNNNNNNNNNNNNNNNNNNNNNNNNNNNNNNNNNNNNNNNNNNNNNNNNNNNNNNNNNNNNNNNNNNNNNNNNNNNNNNNNNNNNNNNNNNNNNNNNNNNNNNNNNNNNNNNNNNNNNNNNNNNNNNNCUCGACGCCGGCCGUCUCCUUCUACCCCGACAAGUACUUCGACGAUGCUCCGACGAACCUCGGUUCCCGUGCACGGAAACCCUAGAUCUGAAACUGGGAGGUCUAUUUCUUCCAAGUCCCUUUUCCCCUAAUAUUUUCAUGCCAUGUUCAUCACAUCAUAACUCCGUCCUCGGUGAUCUGAUUCAUGCAUAUGAUAUGUCAAAUUGUUCGUCUCGUCGAGCUCUUCAUGGUAGAAGGAUCUCCAUGCAUGUUUGUCUCUGUUAUGAUUCCUUUUUCAUUGAUGCAAGAGUGCUAUAAAUUGUUAAUGACUGGUACUUAUCAGAUUAUGAGGUUUUGUCAUUUUUGUUGCAUUUGAUUUGUGCAUCAUAUGAGCAUGAGCUCUAUAGGUGUUUUGAACUACAACAUGCCAUCUUUACAGAGGUGCUUGUCUUUUAUUUUUAUGAUCUAUGUGGUGACUAGCACAAGCAUGCAAACUAGGCUUCGUGAUGUUGCUGUUUUCACGGACUUAGGAUUUUGCUAAGUCUUUUCCUGAUGUUAUUUUGGUGCCAUGUAAACUUGAUGCUAUAGUGAGAUCCAUGCUUAUUUUGGGAUACUUCAGUAAGGAUGUUUUGAACAUGUGGUUAUGCCGUAUCCAUCCAUGCCCCUGUUUGAAAUUAUGAAGUGCUCUAGCAUGUCUUGUUCUUGCUCUACUUUUGCUACAAAAAGUUCCUGGCAGAACGUUAACAUGUUAAUCAAUUUUGCCAUGGUUGUUGCUAGUGAUCCAUGUAUCCUGUGAACUUUCUCUUGCCAUGGUUAGCUUCAUGAACAUGUCAUCUUGCUGUUGGUAUGCUUUUUUUUGUCAUGCAAUGCUUUGUGGUGAGUGGCAUGAGCUCACAAAGUUGCUAUCAUAAUCCUGUUUAUGCCAUGCUCUGUUUUUCUGCUAAGUCUGAAACUGUUAAUAAAUCUUGCUAUGUUUACAUGGGUGCCAUCAUAUCUUCUGUGCCUUUUUGGCUCAUGUUCAGUAAGAGACUUUUGUUCUAUGAAUUUAGUAGAACAAUGCCAUGCAUUGGUUUUUUAUGAUAUGUUCCUGUAGCAUGUUGUUUGCUUUCUCUAAACAUUGCUUCGUGAUGUUAUUUUUGACAUGUUAGUAUUUCACUAAGUCUGUGAUGCUGAUAUCUUUUGCAAUUUUGCCAUGCUUGUUUGAACCUGUUCUAGUGUGAUUUGCCCGUAGCUCAGUGUUCAUGUUUUGUCAAGCAUCUCAUGUACAUCACUGCCAUAUGCUUUGUUGCUAUGUUGGAGUGCAGUAGCUUAGUUGCUUGUUGCAUUCUAAGUGGCAUCAUAUGCUAUUAAUCGCAGUUUUGCGUCAUUCUUGUGAUGCUUGCCAUUUGCAAACCGUGCAUCCGUUUCCGGUGAUCUUUAUAUCGACUUCGACCGAAAUAAUCUCAUCUUUCCAGCGACACACUUGGUUUGCCAAGUUGAUGCCUUGAUCAUUCUUUCCCUUCCGGAGCACGCAUAUGCAUUGCAUAUUAUUUCUUGCAUAUCAUGCCAUGUAUUGCAUCAUGUUGCUUGUGCAUUGCAUCAUGAUUGAUUGUUGGUCCUUUGCUUGUGUUCUUGCUUUGGGUAGAGCCGGGAGACGAGUACGUGACCGAGGAACCUAUUGAGUAUGCUUACGAGGAUCAAGCUUUCGACAACUCUGAGAACUUUGUAGGCAAGAUGACCAUACCCUCAAAAUCACUUCUAUCUUUGCUUGCUAGUUGUUCGCUCUAUUGCUAUGCCGCGCUACCUACCACUUGCUAGCAAACCGUUGUUUGGCUAUGUUACCGCUUUUGCUCAGCCCCUCUUGUAGCAUUGCUAGUUGCAAGUGAAGAUGAAGCUUGUUCCAUGUUGGAACAUGGAUAUUGUUGGGAUAUCAUUAUUAUAUCUUAUUUACUUUAAUGCACAUAUAUAUACUUGGUAAAGGAUGGAAGGCUCGGCCUUAUGCUUGGUGUUUUGUUCCACUCUUGCCACCCUAGUUUUCGUCAUACAGAUGUUAUGUUCCUUGAUUUUGCGUGCCUUACGCGGUUGGGUGUUAUGGGAACCCCUUGACAGUUCGCUUUGAAUAAAACUCCUCUAGCAAGGCCCAACCUUGGUUUUACCAUUUGCCUACCUACCACCAUAUACCUUUCCCUUGGGUUCUGCAGACUCAAGGGUCAUCUUUAUUUUAAACCCCCCCGGGCCAGUGCUUCUCUGAGUGUUGGUCCGAACCGAGCCGCCUGCGGGGCCACCUCGGGGAAACUCGACGGUUGGUUUUACUCAUAGCUUGUCUCAUCCGAUGUUGCACUGAGAACGAGAUACAUGCGACUCCUAUCGGGAUUUGUUGGCACAUCGGGUGGCUUUGCUGGUCUUGCUUUACCAUUGUUGAAAUGUCUUGUAACCGGGAUUCCGAGACUGAUCGGGUCUUCCCGGGAGAAGGAAUAUCCUUCGUUGACCGUGAGAGCUUGUGAUGGUCUAAGUUGGGACACCCCUGCAGGGUAUAAACUUCUGAGAGCCCUGCCCGCGGUUAUGUGGCAGAUGGGAAUUUGUUAAUAUCCGGUUGUAGAGAACUUGACACUUAACUUAAUUGAAAUGAAUCAACCGCGUGUGUUGCAGUGAUGGUCUCUUUUUGGCGGAGUCCGGGAAGAGAACAGGGUCUUGUGUUAUGCUUGAACAUAAGUAGUUUCAGGAUCACUUCUUGAUCACUUCUAGUUUCUCGACCAUUGCAUUGCUUCUCUUCUCGCUCUCAUUUGCAUAUGUUAGCCACUAUACAUGCUAGUGCUUGCUGCAGCUCCACCUUACUAGCUUCUCCUACCCAUAAGCUUAAAUAGUCUUGAACGCACGGGUGUGAGAUUGCUAAGUCCUCGUGACUCACGGAUACCUCCAAACAGUUGCAGGUGCCGACGACACCAGUGCAGGCGAUGCUACCGAACUCAAGGUGGAGUUCGACGAGGAUUCGGGCCGUUACUAUGUUUCCUUUCCUGAUGAUCAGUAGUGGAGCCCAGUUGGUACGAUCGGGGAUCUUGCAUUUGGGGUUGUCUUCUUUUAUUUUGCUUCCGUUGUUGGACCUUUGAUUGUACUUUGGAUGAUGUAUGAACUAUUUAUGUAUUGUGUGAAGUGGCGAGUGUAAGCCAACUCUUUAUCCCUUUCUUAUUCAGUACAUGGGAUGUGUAAAGAUCACCCCUCUUGCGACAGGCCUACCAUGUGGCUAUGCCUUUAAGUCGUGCCCCGACACAUGGGAGAUAUAGCCGCAUUGUGGGUGUUACAAGUUGGUAAUUAGAGCCUUACCCGACUUAGGAGCCCCCUGCUUGAUCGAACGCUGGCGUUGUUGAGUCUAGAACAAAAUGUUUGAGUCUUAGGAUUAUAUAUAUCAGAGAGUAGGAUUCUUUUUACUCCUCAGUCCCUUCGUUGCUCUGGUGAGGCCUCCUGACGUAGAAGUUUUGACUCUUCUCUCCUCAAAUUUCACGAUUGUUUUUUUUGGAUCAUGCGGGUAUCUUGGAAUCGUUCCGAUAGUCUUGUGAGCAGAACAUUAUUCUUGGUGCCUCCUGACAUUUAGGGGUUGUGGCAGUGUCCUACGGAGUUGAGAUCCGAGGUGUUGUUAUCACAAUUUUAUCGUUGCAGUUCUGGAAUAUCUGAGUUCGCCGACAUCGAAAAUCUUUUUAUGUAGUUGUUGGUGAGAUAACCUCGACGCCACCCAGUACUGGGGCGGGACUUCGGGAGUAUUGCCAUAACUCGUAUAACGAAUGCUUUUUGAAGGUUGAGGUACAUGAUUUCCGAAGGUUUCUUGGUUAUGUGUUGAAGGAUGGAUACAACUGGAUAUAGGAUUUGUUAGUUUGGGUGAGAUAUUAGGCUUCCCCUGUAUCCCCAACACUUGAUUGCAUAACCAGAAAGUUUCGGGAGUUUUAUAGGUGGGAAUUCAAGUAGCUCUAGUAUUUCUUCCCGCAAAUAUUUGGUUUGUGAUUGGGUAAUCCUUACCACUUAUUUGUUCAUAUCCGUACCUUGUUGCUUUAUUCAUCUACCUUUAUCUAAGUGGAUUCUCAACUUAAUGGACGUGUGAUGUUUUACUUUGGAAUUCAUUCGUUCAUCCUUGUUCAAAUGUUAAGACUAUAUGUUGCAAUUUCGAUCCAUUGACUCAGCUUGAAUAUAUGUCUUUCAAAAAUUCUAAAUGAUGUCAACCUCUUCAGGAUGUCUCCUCCAACGCGUCAGAAUUCGGACCGCAAUGAUGGGGAUCAGUCGAACCCUCCGCCACCACCUCCACCUCCGGAGGCAUGGCAAGCUGUCAUGGCAACCACCAACGCCAACACUCAUAUGCUUUUGCAACUCUUGCAAGAGUGCAACCAAGGGCAAGGCAACCAAGGAAAUCAAGGCCAAGGCAACAAUCAGCCUCAGUUUGCUACCCUCAACUAGUUCCUCGCAAACCAGCCGAAGUCCUUCAGCAAUUGUGUCGAGCCACAUAUGACGAUCAUUGGUUCAUGGACAUCUGCAAACAUUUUGAAUGUAGCAAUGUCAGACCUGUGGACUUUGUCAAGUUUGCUUUGUUUCAACUCAAGGAUCAAGCUGCUGAGUGGUAUCAACAAUACAGAGAUUCCAGAGGAGGUCAUGUGAUUACCCAGGAUGAUUUCCACUGAGACUUCAAAGCUCAUCACAUUCCACCAAGCGUUGCUGAGAGCAAGCGUGAGGAGUUCCGCAAUCUCAAGCAAGGUAGCAUGUCCUUGUAUCAAUACAAUAUCCGGUUUCCGAAACUUGCUCGCUUCGCUAAACAAGACGUUCCUGCUACAAAGAGUAUGAUCUAUCAAUUCAGAGGUGGCCUCAGAGAAGAUCUGCAAUUAGCUCUCGUGCUUCUUGAGCCGACCAAGUUUGAUCAAUUCUACAACAUGGCACUAAAGCAAGAAGCUGCUCAGCUCAAGUGUGAGGCAUCUAAGAAGAGAGUCAGGGACGAAGUUCAGUGUUCUUCCUCACAAGUGGCAGCUAAGCAACAAAAGUUCUGGUUGCCUCCUCCUCCUCCGUUUCGUCAGCCCUACCAACAGAAGAGCAAAGGUGGCAAUGGAUCUUCCCACCCACCCAACCCAGGCUAUCAGAACAAAGCUCAUUCUCAAACUCCAAGGUCAAGUGCUCCUUAUCACCAUCCGCUCUCAGAGGUUACUUGCAACAAGUGUCAGCAGAAAGGGUACUAUGCAAACAAGUGCUUCAACCAAAGGCGCCUUCCGCCUCCUCCUCCUGUGAGAUCUGCCAGCAAUGCAGUGGUCAAGCAUAAUCCAAAGCAUGCUAAGGUGAACAUGAUGAACGCAGCUCAGGCAGAGGAUUCUUCAAAAGUGAUCAUGGGUAAUCUUCCUGUUAAUGAUAUUCCUGCAAAAGUCUUAUUUGAUACUGGUGCAUCGCAUUCUUUCAUGUCAUAUCCUUUUGCAUCGAAGCACAAUUUUGGCACUAAGGUAUUACCUAAAGCUUUGCAAGUUGUUUCUCUGGCUAGGCGUUUGAGCUCUAGCAUGAUGGUUCCGAAUGUCUGUAUCGAGAUGGGGAACUUUAAAUUUCUGGCUUCUCCAAUUGUUCUUGGUGACUCGGAUAUUGAUCUAAUUCUCGGCAUGGACUGGCUUUCUAAGCACAAGGCUCUGCUUGACUGUGCUGCCAGAGAAAUUCAAUUGACACACUCUUCUAAGGAGGUGAUCAUCUAUGCCGCUCGGGACGAAACCAUUCGAUUGUUUUCUCUCAAUGAGAAGGGAGAGUUGGAUGCCAUCUCUCAGAUUCCGGUCGUUUGUGAAUAUCAAGACGUCUUUCCAGAAGAGCUUCUGGGAAUGCCUCCUCACCGGCCAAUUGAAUUCGUUAUCGAUCUUGAGCCUGGCACGGAACCCGUUUGCAAGCGUCCUUACAAGCUUCAUCUCGCCCUAAUAUUUUCCUAGCAAACCAUUGUUUGGCUAUGUUACCGCUUUUGCUCAGCCCCUCUUGUAGCGUUGCUAGUUGCAGGUGAAGAUGAAGCUUGUUCCAUGUUGGAACAUGGAUAUUGUUGGGAUAUCAUUAUUAUAUCUUAUUUACUUUAAUGCAUCUAUAUACUUGGUAAAGGGUGGAAGGCUCGGCCUUAUGCCUGGUGUUUUGUUCCACUCUUGCUGCCCUAGUUUCCGUCAUACCGGUGUUAUGCUCCUUGAUUUUGCGUUCCUUACGCAGUUGGGUGUUAUGGGAACCCCUUGACAGUUCGCUUUGAAUAAAACUCUUCCAGCAAGGCCCAACCUUGGUUUCACCAUUUGCCUACCUACCACCAUAUACCUUUCCCUUGGGUUCUGCAGACUCAAGGGUCAUCUUUAUUUUAAACCCCCCGGGCCAGUGGUCCUCUGAGUGUUGGUCCGAACCGAGCCACCUGCAGGGCCACCUCGGGGAAACUCGAGGGUUGGUUUUACUCGUAGCUUGUCUCAUCCGGUGUUUCCCUGAGAACGAGAUACGUGCGACUCCUAUCGGGAUUUGUUGGCACAUCGGGUGGCUUUGCUGGUCUUGUUUUACCAUUGUCAAAAUGUCUUAUAACCGGGAUUCCGAGACUGAUCGGGUCUUCCCGGGAGAAGGAAUAUCCUUCGUUGACUGUGAUAGCUUGUGAUGGGCUAAGUUGGGACACCCCUGCAAGGUAUAAACUUUUGAGAGCCGUGCCCGCGGUUAUGUGGCAGAUGGGAGUUUGUUAAUAUCCGGUGUUAGAGAACUUGACACUUAACUUAAUUAUAAUGAAUCAACUGCGUGUGUUGCUGUGAUGGUUUAUUUUUGGCGGAGUCCGGGAAGAGAACACGAUCUUGUGUUAUGCUUGAACGUAAGUAGUUUUAGGAUCACUUCUUGAUCACUUCUAGUUUCUCGACUGUUGCGUUGCUUCUCUUCUCGCUCUCAUUUGCGUAUGUUAGCCACCAUACAUGCUAGUGCUUGCUGCAGCUCCACCUUACUACCUUCUCCUACCCAUAAGCUUAAAUAGUCUUGAUCGCACGGGUGUGAGAUUGCUAAGUCCUCGUGACUCACAGAUACUUCCAAACAGUUGCAGGUGCCAACGAGACCAGUGCAGGCGAUGCUACCGAACUCAAGUGGGAGUUCAACGAGGAUUCAGGCCGUUACUAUGUUUCCUUUCCUGAUGAUCAGUAGUGGAGCCCAGUUGGGACGAUUGGGGAUCUAGUAUUUGGGGUUGUCUUCUUUUAUUUUGGUUCUGUAGUCAGACCUUUGAUUGUACUUUGGAUGAUGUAUGAACUAUUUAUGUAUUGUGUGAAGUGGCGAGUGUAAGCCAGCUCUUUAUCCCUUUCUUAUUCAGUACAUGGGAUGUGGAAAGAUUACCCCUCUUGCGACAGGCCUACCAUGCGGCUAUGCCUCUAAGUCGUGCCCCGACACGUGGGAGAUAUAACCGCAUUGUGGAUGUUACACUCGAUCCCUCGUAUGGGGCAGGAAGAAGACAAUUCCUCAUGUCAACGAUCCACUUAUACAUCUCGUAGCGUGUGUACGCGUCCUUGGCCACGUACUUGACGUGUUGUUCAUCCAGUCUCUCAUGCCAAACACUGUGCCAGACUUUCUUGUCCUUCUUGCUCUCUUCCUUCAUCUUUGCGUAGUAGGGAUCGAUGAUGGCCAAGGCGAGGUCAACCAGGGAGCUCAGUUUGUUGUUGUAGCUCCCAGAGACCUUGUAGUGGUGCUGGAUGUUGACAAGAUUCGGGCAUUUCAAGCCCGAAACCUUGAGCGCUUUUAGAUCGUUGGUGGUGUCCACCGUAGCAAAACUGUAGUUGGAGCUGUUGAUAAACCUGGAGAAACGCUUGCAAGGCCUUGUGGCCAGGUGGUGGUGGUAGACGAGGACGUCAUGUUGCACGCACAACUGGGCGACGACAACCUUCUGAUCGUGCCCGGCACGACCCAUGGUGUACUCGAUGUCUAAGUCGACCACUUGAUACUUGUCCUCGGCAAGGAACUGCUCCAUAGUUUGGAUGGAGCUCUCCACCGAGACCGGAUCAUUUGUGUACACCACCGAGAGAGCCUUCCCCCUCACGUGGGUGUCCAUGACGUGUUGCAUGGUGAACUGCCCGCCGUUGUCGUCAUCGGCCACUGGGAGUGCCAUUGGAGCCACGGGGAGAGCCAUUGGAACCGCUGGAUGUCCUCUCUAUAUGUGUCCUUGUGGGUGUCUUAUUGUGUCGUGUGAGACGAGUGAUGAUGGUAAAUGGCCGCAGGAAUAAAAGGGGGUCGGGAGGCCUGGAUUGUCGGCGCGUUCGCAUGGCAGUUUUUGCAGCGGGUAACUGCAUCGUCGCGCCGCGCUCGGCGCAACCGCAUGCACACGAACAUGCGUCGGCGACAAACACUGGUAGCGCGCGCGGGGGGACGAGGGCAGAGCACCCAGAGGGACGCGAGAGCAGAGCGCGCACGGUGGGAUGCGAGCAGAGCGCGCCGCGGCUGCCUCAACCGCAAGCAACCACAUGCAUAGAGCCGUUGAACACGCAGGAAAUGGUCGCCUACAAGCUGGCCGACAGUUGCGUCGCUACAUAGAGAGCGGCCGUGUGCUACUACCUCCAUCUUGGUCUAUAGCCCCCUUUAUAUUCUGUGGCAUACUUUGCCCUUAAAUUUAACCAACAAAAUGUUAAUGCAUGUUAUAAAAAUUAUAUAAUUGGAAACUAUGUUCAAAUAUGAAUCCAACUAUAUAAUCUUUGGCGACAUGCAUUCGUAUUUUAUUAGUUAAAUCCUACGUAUAAACCAGGAUGGGGGUAUAGUAUGUAAUUAAACCACAAACAUUUUUUUAUAUUAACCGUAUGUGUACGUGGCCUUUCGUCCUCCUCUCGCACGUCUUGUCACCUCGCUGCCGCAGACGGCUUACAUCGCAAGCUUGCGCAGCGCGCGGGGGCAUUCUUUUGGCCAAACGGCGGCGCCAAUGAAUCAUCGGUGAGCCCGUUCCCGCGAAACCUCAUAGGUUCCCACGCAACCUCACAGGUUCCCGCGCAAGCUUCCCGCUCAACUCGGUGAAAUCCCCCCAAAUCCCUAUGCUUACCGACCUGCUAUAUAAACCCUCAUGGCCGGCGAGUCCUGCAUCGCAUUUUCCCCUCCCUCCCUAUAGCUUAUCUCGUCUGCUUCUCCCACAAUCGCGAAUGGCACCAGUCCGUCGUCGUCGCUCAACCACUCCGCCAUCAUCAGAGGAUAGCUCUAGCUAGGAGGCUACACCGUGGCGGCGGCGCAGUGCCCAAUGUAGUGUAGUGCACGUGGCGUCCCUGUUGGGUGUGCGCGGAACACCCACCACACGACUGUCGAAAGCCAGGCCCAUCGCCCGCUCCGCCGCUGCAGCCCGAAGGCAGGAGGUGGCUGUCGUGGCCGCCACCCCACUGCCGGCCACCGUGGCCUCCCGCUCCGCCACCGCGGCCCGAAGGCGGGAGGUGGUGGUCAUGGCCGCCACCCCAUCGUCGGCCGCCGUGGCCGCCAGCCCACCGUCGACCGCCAGGGUCAUCACCCGCUCUGCCACCACCGCGGAAAGGCGGGAGGCAGAGGUGGAUGCCCGCAUGUGCGUCAGUGGCCUUGCGCGCUACUCCGAAUUCUUGCGGGAGGAGGAGCGCCUCGUCGAGCACGAAAAGAGCCUUACCGCCGCCGUGGCCGCGGCACACGCCGCCUCAAAGGAGAGGAAUCAGGAGAUCUACGAGGAGAACCACCGCUUUGAGAGGGAUCGUCUGAAGCGACAGAGGGCAUUCAAGGUGAGCGUCGCUGAAGCUGUAGCAAUGGCAGGCACCGUAUUGCGGUUGCCCAGCUCGUUGGUAGGCUCCUCCUCCUCUGCCUCUUACUGAGCGCGCUCGGCAGAGGAGAGGCAACCGGAAGUAGUACAAAGCCCCUCCGUAGUAGUAGUAUUUAGGGGCUAUUUUGUUCAGUUCAUCUGACUAUAGAUGUGGUGGAUUUGUACAAUGUACUUAAAAUUAGCUAGUAUAUAUAGUUGAACUACUUGUUCAGUACGUGGUUGGCAACAAUUGCGGAAAAGUUUUCUCGGUUCAGCUGUCGAGUUGAACUGUUUGUAUAAAUUAAGAACGACUGCUUAAUCUAUGAAUGAAAUCUAUGCUUAAUUACUGAAUUUUAGUUGCAAAAAUUAGAUACUACUAGUGAUUUUUAGCUUCAUAUUUUGACAAAUCGCAAUGUUACAAGGUUGACAAAUGGCAAUGUUACUAGAUCAAUGAAUGUCAAUCUUUCCAGUUUGACAAAUGGCAACAUACCCAAUAUGACAGAUGCAAAUCAUACCAAAUUGUUUGUAAGUGGUUGCACACGAGUCAUCCAAAAGAACCGUCUGCAUUGAAGAGAUGCACAAAUCCUGCUCUCACUUUGCAUAUGGGUGAUCUAUCUAAACCGUUUGCGAUCAAGUGCUGCCCAAAUCCUGCACGGCACAUUUUCCCUUGGCUUCCUGGUAAGCUGUCGGUUUGCAUACGAGUGUUCUAACUAAAACGUUUGCGAUGAGUGUUUUAUAUUUCAAAACGAUUGAUGUUUUUUUCAAAGGUAAAUCGUUUGAUAAGUCUAUACAUUAAGAGAGAAAAACGCAAGUUCGCUCAAACCAUAUAUUUCAUUCAGUCAUACUGCAAAUUUAUAUUCAUAUGAUCGAGAUACAUUAUUAAACCCAAGAAAAAAACACUAUUUCCGGUGGCGGCAGAGGCGGUGUGCCGUGCGGUCGUUGUUGUCCUCCGGGACGCCGUUGUUGAAGUCUUCCUAGUGCGCCUGCGCAGCAUACAGCUCACACGCUUCCCGGUGAGCAUGCGCAUUGGAGAAAAGCUUGCACGCCUCUCAGUCAGCCUGAGCACCGGACUGCUCUUGCACGCCUCCCGUUCAGUCAAGGUCAAGAAGCUGUCCGCACGACACCUCCUAUAGCCAUUGAAACUAAGACACGUGGCGUCAUGUGAAUGGUUAACAGAAGGCACACGGUUUGAAUUAUAGAAACGUUUGAGAUAUUAAAGUGGCAGCUAUUUUUUCAAAAUGCCUUUGUUGGCUGUUAUUCGAGUGCGCCUUCUCUCAAAAUGGACACGAAAAAUACCACAACAUGUCGGGUGCCAUUCCAUGAUAGCAUGCCAAGUUUCAUGAAUUUCAGCCGAGUUUUGGAUUUACUAGAAUUUAAAAAUAAAGUAUCUCAAUGUUUUGCCAGCAAUCAACGGUGCCCUGGUGUUUGACAUUCAUUCCCAUUUCUUGCAUGGGACGUAAGCAUGCAACCAAGGACACAUAUUUGAAUUUUCAACCAAUUUAUAUGCAUUAGAGCAUGUGCAUGUAGUUCAAAUUUGAAUUAUGCACAUAAAUGCAUUGAAAACUCAAUUAAUGCAUAAAAAUGUCCAAACUAACCCCGAAAAUCCCAAAAAUUAACACAACACUCCUGUUGUUCUAUGUUGACACUAGGAAAAAAAUUGAAAUUAAGAAGAGGCAAUGGAUAUCAUUUCGUCCAGAAAGGUGAAACGUUCCCUACCGAAACCAUCAGGCUUGUUAUGAGAAGCUCUGGUUUGUGAGAAGCAUAUACCCAAACCUGCCCCAAAUGGGACAAAAAAUUUACCACGGCAUGUUGAUGCUGCUCCAUGACAGCAUGCCAAGUUUCAUGAAUUUCAGACGAGCUUUGAAUUUACUAGAAUUUAAAAACUAGGUAUCUCAAUGUUUGCGGCCGAGUGUGGUGGCAGGGUGUUUGGCAUUCAUUCCCAUUUCUUGCAUGGGACCUAAGCAUGCAACCAAGGAGACAGAUUUGAAUUUUCAACCAAUUUAUAUGCAUUAGAGCAUGUGUAUGUAGUUUGAAUUUAAUUAUGCAUAUGAAUGCAUUGAAAACUCAAUUAAUGCAUAAAAAGUCCAAACGAACCUCAAAAAAUCACAAAAAUUGACACAACACUCCUCUUGUUCUACGUUGACAUGAGAUUUUUUUAAAGCAAUAAGAGGCAAUGGAUAUCGUUUUGUCCCCAAAGGUGGGAUGUUCCCUACCGAAACCAUCAUGCUUGUUGUGAGAAGCAUAUACCCAAACCUACCCCAAAUGGGACAAAUUUUUUACCACGGCAUGUUGAUGCUACUCCAUGAUAGCAUGCCAAGUUUCAUGAAUUUCAGACGAGUUUUGGAUUUACUAGAAUUUUAAAACAUGGUAUCUCAAUGUUUGCGGCCGAGUGACAGUGGCAGGGUGUUUGACAUUCAUUCCCAUUUCUUGCAUGGGACCUAAGCAUGCAACCAAGGACACAUAUUUGAAUUUUCAACCAAUUUAUAUGCAUUAGAGCAUGUGCAUGUAGUUCAAAUUUGAAUUAUGCACAUAUAUGCAUUGAAAACUCAAUUAAUGCAUAAAAAAUGUCCAAACGAACCCCAAAAAAUCCCAAAAAUUGACACAACACUCCUGUUGUUCUAUGUUGACACUAGGAAAAAAAUUGAAAUUGAGAAGAGGCAAUGGAUAUCGUUUCGUCCAGAAAAGUGAAACGUUCCCUACCAAAACCACCAGGCUUGUUGUGAGAAGCUCUAGUUUGUGUGAAGCAUAUCCCCAAACCUACCCCAAAUGGGACAAAAAAUUUACCACGACAUGUUGAUGCCGCUCCAUGAUAGCAUGCCAAGUUUCAUGAAUUUUGAACGAAUUUUGGAUUUACUAGAAUUAAAAAAGCAAGUAUGCAACGUUUCCCCGAGAGCCACGAUGCCGUGGUGUUCGAAUUUCAUCGCCAUUUCUUGCAUGGGACAUAAGCAUAAACCCAUGGACACAUAUAUGAUUUUACAACCCAUGUUGGUGCACCGGAGCAUGUGCAUGUAGUUUAAUUUUGAAUUGUGCACCUGAAAUGGCUAGAAAACCAAUUUAAUGUCUAAAAUGUUCAAACGAACCCUGAAUAAUUCCAAUUCUUUUACGACACACAUAUAGUUGCAUGUUCACUGCAGAUAAAAGGUCUAGCAAUUCAAACACCGUCAAUUGCCACUAUGACCCCAUUAUGUAAUUCAAAUCAAGAUGAAAAAUCAAGUAGAUCUCACACAGUUUAUUAUCACCAAGCGUGUGAGAUGCAGCACAAAAUAUCCUCGAGCACGGUCGGUGUAUAGUACGCCUAUGUUUUACGUGAGAAGGUGCGCCGGCUACAGUCCACAUCCGGCUUCUCAAGCACACUAGCUCGCUCCCCAAAUAUCAUUUCACUGUUCAAUCAUCGCAGGUGAAAGAUGGGCACGUGGAACCGCGUUGUGAGGGCAACUUCGGUGGCCCACUCCGGCGAGAGCGUGGCCCCAGCUACCAUGCGCGUGCUAACAAGGUGCAUGAGCGCGGACGCAAUCUACGACCGGGCGACCAAGGCAGCCCAAACGACCGUUGUUGCUUCUCAGGUGGCGGCAGCAACAUCUGCCUCGGGGAUAGCAACUGGCGAGAGCGGCACAACAGCUGUCCGUUCCACAGCGAUGGCCUUAGCCUUGAUGGAGGCCGCCCACGAACAUGUCGAGGCCAUCCAAGCCUAGCUCAUGGUGGUCACCGCACAAAUCGAACGAAGCUUCUCUGACAACGGUCGGCAACCCACGGCCGAAGAGUUGGCAAUCGCCAAGAGCGUUCGAGCAGCCAUCCGUUCUUCCGCCGCAUACCUUGCGACGACGGAGCCCGUCCAAGCUUAGAUCGCGGCCACCCACGCCCAGCUUGUGGCGGCCUUUUCCAAAGAGAUGGCGGACGCAGAUGGCGAGAUGCUUGCCGAGUAUGGUGCGAUGGAUGCCAUGGAGCCCCUUCCCCAGGAGACCAUCGGGCGCGAGCUGAACAUGGAGGCGGCGAUGGAGAUCGACGAGCACCAGCCAUAGUAGUACUCUUUGUUUUGUUUAAUUAAGAGCGCCAGUCUUUAAUUUGUUAAAGUAAUGUUUAGGUCAACUAGCUCUGUUUAAUUGCUGAACUUGCUCGAUUAACAAGUGUGGGUGUGUUGUAGUCUCCUUUGUGUACCCAAAUUAUGCAAUGACGUGGAUGACCACUGUAACCAGGGAAAUUCGAACCAAAGUUUUUGACGUUCAAACUCAUCACACACGGGUUAAGCUAUCUGAAUCGUUUGUGAUGUUCACAUAUCAUACACAGUUCUGAAUAAGGGACCAUGUCUGAUGACACUUUGCGCGCAAGUUUUUUCGCUGAAGCGAUUCCAAAUUUUCGGCUUCCGUGGAAAUAUCUACCUCCCCGCCCCCUUACCAAAAGCCACAUUUCCCCUAUUUCUGCCUUCCUUUCCAAGUUGAAACCUUCACUCCUUGCUUGCAACACCGCCUCCUCACCGGCGACCCUCCUUCACGCUGCUCGACCUCGUCUAUCUAGGCAGGUAAUCCACACCCGACCCCCAUCCUUCUCCUCCUUCCACAUCCCACAUGCCCCGACCGUCGGCGCGACACCUUCCACCCAAAUCACCGACCCCGCCACCAAAUAAGCGCCGCCCUAAGCCAUGGUGCACGCAUUAUAGCCAGGAUCUCAAGGAGCAUUUGGCAACAGAGAAGCAAACCGCGGUCGCACGCGCGGAUGAGGUCGCGAUGGCUGCCAUUCGUGCUGACCCCCCAGAUCUUGGAGGAGCACCUUGCCAUUUGCUAGCUAUGCCGGUUAAGCAUGCUCGGUUUACCCGUUGCAUGUGCUGCUCCUGCCUUUCCUUCACAAAUUCUAGUGAACUGUGCUAUCUAAUUUUACCAUGCAAUCUGUUGCUCUAGUGUAUAUGUUCUAUAUGUCGUGUAGUGUGGUGCUCACUUAUUAACCGUUUUGUUAAUUAGCUGUCGUCUUUAGUUAACUGUUUGGUUCAAUUCUGCAAAUGUGAUGUUCAAUUCUUCAGGAUGCAAUUUUUUAUUGUCUUCCAUGUGAGAAAUAAAUCAAAUUUAUCUUUACAAAAUACAUGAGAAACGAAUACAAUUGCUAUAUUUCCAAGUUGUCAAGCAUGCUUGGUUUGGUUUUACAUUGUGCAGUGUGGUGCUCAGUUAAUGUUUGGUUCAUUUGUGUUGUGGUGUUUAGUUACCUAUUUGGUUCAAUUUUGCAAUGCGAUGUUCAAUAGUUGUGGGUGCAUUCUGUUAUUGUAUACCAUGUGAGGAAUAAAUUGAAUUUGGUUGUAGUAAAUACAUGAGAAACAAAUACAAUUGCUAUAUUUCCAAGUUGUUAAGCAUGCUUGGUUUGGUUAACUGUCUGAUCUUCUAUUAGGAGUAUGUUAUAUUAUGCAAUCUGGUGCUCAGUUAAUGUUUGGUUCAUUUGUUGUGGUGUUUAGUUAACUGCUUGGUUCAAUUCUGCAAUGCGAUGUCCCACUGUCGUUGGUAGAAUUUUGUAUUGUUGUGCAUGUGAGGAAUAAAUCGAAUUUGCCUGCACUUAAUACAUGAGAAACAUAUACAAGUGCUAUAUUUCCUAGUUCUUAAUCAUGCUUGGUUUGGAUAAAUGGGUUUUCCAUGUGGCUUGAAUUAAUCUGAUGAAUCUGCAAUGUGCUUAUUUUUCAUCAACAUAUUUUACUGAUAGCAUGCAAACCCUUACUUAGCUUGAUGACUAACUACCUUAUAUGUGUUGCAGGGAAACAAUGGGAAGCACCGAGGUUUAGAAUCGAGGUUAGCAUGUGCAUGGUCCAUUGUCUAAUAGCACAUUAUUGUGCAAUUGCAGGAACCAUUCUAAUAUUUAGCUUUUUUUUAAGAAUUUGCCCUUGCACAUGUAGGUCAUGUUGUCAGAGGUUUUGACCCACUGUUUGACCCUUUUUGCAUAUGGGGAAAUGAGUUGUCCAUGAAUAUCAAUCAAGUCAAGAAACUCAAAAAGAUUGUUAGGAUAAAGAAAUUAGCGACAAAAAACAUAAAGAUCUUUGUCUGCAUAAUGAAGAAGACAUCAGUUCACUACAAGAUGGUACUAACUAUUAUACUUUGCCUUUUUUUAUUCCUUUGCCCCAUUUCCAAUAUAGAGAAGAUAUUUAUGCACAUCCUUGUGUUUCAGGACUUUCCAAAGCAGUUCACAGAUGAUUACCUCUCAAACCACCACUAUGGUCAGGAGGCGAGGAAGGUUUUCAUACAACACCCACGGUUCAAUAUCGAAGUGUUCCUGAAGAGGACAAAGGUGUUGGGGAACGUAGUAAUUUCAAAAAAAAUCCUAUGCACAUGCAAGAUCAUGGUGAUGCUUAGCAACGAGAGGGGAGAGUAUCAUCUAUGUACCCUCAUAGACCGUAAGCGGAAGCGUUAUGACAACACGGUUGAUGUAGUCGUAUGUCUUCACGAUCGACCAAUCUAGUACCGAAGAUAUGGCACCUCCUCGAUCUGCACACGUUCGGCUCGAUGACGUCCCGCGAACUCACAAUCCAGUAGAUCUUAGAGGGAGAACUUUGUCAACAUGAUGGCGUGAUGACGGUGAUGAUGUUGCUACCGGAACAGGGCUUCGCCUAAGCACCGCUACGAUAUUAUCGAGGUGGAUUAUGGUGGAGGGGGGCACCGCACAUGGCUAAAGAUCAAUGAUCAACUUGUGUGUCCAUGGGGUGCCCCCCGUAUAUAAAGGAGUGGAGGAGGGGGAGGGGGCCAAACUCUCUAGGCGCGCCCCAAGGGAGUCCUACUCCCACCGGGAGUAGGAUCCCCCCUUCCCUUUGUUGGUUCUAGGAGAGAAGGAAGGAGGAGGAAGAAGGAAGGAAAGGGGGGGCCUUCCAAUUCAGAUUGGGCUUGGGGGGGGGGCUCCUUUGCUUCUUUUCCCUCUCUUGCACUAAGGCCCAAUAAGGCCCAUAUACCUCCCGGAGGGUUCCGGUAACCUCUCGGUGCUCAGGUAUACUCCCGAUUUCACCCGGAACCAUUCCGAUGUCCAAACAUAGGCUUCCAAUAUAUCGAUCUUUACAUAUCAACCAUUUCGAGACUCCUCGUCAUGCCCGCGAUCAAAUCUGGGACUCCGAACUACCUUUGGUACAUCAAAACACAUAAACUCGUAAUACCGAUCGUCACCGAACGUUAAGCGUGCGGACCCUACGGGUUCGAGAACUAGGUAGACAUGACCGAGACAUGUCUCCGGUCAAUAACCAAUAGCAUAACCUGGAUGCUCAUAUUGGUUCCUACAUAUUCUACGAAGAUCUUUAUCGAUCAAACUGCAUAACGAUAUACUUUGUUCCCUUUGUCAUCGGUAUGUUACUUGUCCGAGAUUCGAUUGUCGGUAUCUCAAUACCUAGUUCAAUCUCGUCACCGGCAAGUAUCUUUACUCGUUCCGUAAUGCUACAUCCCGUAACUAACUCAUUAGCUACAUUGCUCGCAAGGCUUAUAGUGAUGUACAUUACCGAGGGGGCCCAGAGAUACCUCUCCGACAAUCGGAGUGACAAAUCCUAAUCUUGAUCCAUGCUAACUCAACAAACACCAUCGAAGACACAUGUAGAGCACCUUUAUAAUCACCCAGUUACAUUGUGACAUUUGGGAGCACACAAAGUGUUCCUCCGGUAUUCGGGAGUUGCAUGAUCCCAUAGUCAUAGGAACAUGUAUAGUUAUGGAGAAAGCAAUAGAAACAAACUAAAUGAUCAUUGUGCUAAGCUAACGGAUGGGUCAAGUCAAUCACAUCAUUCUCCAAUGAUGAUCCCGUUAAUCAAAUGACAACUCAUGUCUAUGGUCAGGAAACAUAACCAUCAUUGAUUCAACGAGCUAGUCAAGUAGAGGCAAACUAGUGACACUCUGUUUGUCUAUGUAUUCACACAUGUACUAAGUUUCCGGUUAAUAGAAUUCUAGCAUGAAUAAUAAACAUUUAUCAUGAUAUAAGGAAGUAUAAAUAACAACUUUAUUAUUGCAUCUAGGGCAUAUUUCCUUCAGUCUCCCACUUGCACUAGAGUCAAUAAUCUAGAUUACAUUGUAAUGAUUCUAACACCCAUGGAGUCUUGGUGCUGAUCAUGUUUUGCUCGUGAGAGAGGCUUAGUCAACGGGUCUGCAACAUUCAGAUCCGUAUGUAUCUUGCAAAUCUCUAUGUCUCCCUCCUUGACUUGAUCGCAGAUGGAAUUGAAGCGUCUCUUGAUGUGCUUGGUUCUCUUGUGAAAUUUGGAUUCCUUUGCCAAGGCAAUUGCACCAGUAUUGUCACAAAAGAUUUUCAUUGGACCCAAUGCAUUAGGUAUGACACCUAGAUCGGAUAUGAACUCCUUCAUCCAGACUCCUUCAUUUGUUGCUUCCAAAGCAACUAUGUAUUCCACUUCACACGUAGAUCCCACCACGACGCUCUGCUUGGAACUGCACCAACUGACAGCUCCACGAUUUAAUAAAAACAUGUAUCCAGUUUGACUUAGAGUCAUCCGGAUCAGUGUCAAAGCUUGCAUCGAUGUAACCAUUUACGACGAGCUCUUUUUCACCUCCAUAUACGAGAAACAUAUCCUCAGUCCUUUUCAGGUAUUUCAGGAUGUUCUUGGCCGCUGUCUAGUGAUCCACUCCUGGAUUACUUUGGUACCUCCCUGCUAAACUUAUAGCAAGGCACACAUCAGGUCUGGUACACAACAUUGCAUACAUGAUAGAGCCUAUGGCUGAAGCAUAGGGAACACCUUUCAUUUUCUCUCUAUCUUCUGCAGUGGUCGGGCAUUGAGUCUGACUCAACUUCACACCUUGUAAUACAUGCAAGAACCCUUUAUUUGCCUAAUCCAUUUUGAACUUCUUCAAAAAUUUAUCAAGGUAUGUGCUUUGUGAAAGUCCAAUAAAGUGUCUUGAUCUAUCUCUAUUGUUCUUGAUGCCCAAUAUAUAAGCAGCUUCACCGAGGUCUUUCAUUGAAAAAUUCUUAUUCAAGUAUCCUUUUAUGCUAUUCAGAAAUUCAGUAUCAUUUCCGAUCAACAAUAUGUCAUCUACAUAUAAUAUCAGAAAUGCUACGGAGCUCCCACUCACUUUCUUGUAAAUACAGGCUUCUCCAAAAGUCUGUAUAAAACCAUAUGCUUUGAUCACACUAUCAAAGCAUAUAUUCCAACUCCGAGAGGCUUGCACCAGUCCAUAAAUGGAUCGCUGGAGCUUUCAUACUUUGUUAGCACCUUUUGGAUCGACAAAACCUUCUGGUUGCAUCAUAUGCAACUCUUCUUUAAGGUAUCCAUUAAGGAAUGCAGUUUUGACAUCCAUUUGCCAAAUUUCAUAAUCAUAAAAUGCAGCAAUUGCUAACAUGAUUCGGACGGACUUAAGCAUCGCUACGGGUGAGAAGGUCUCAUAGUAGUCAACUCCUUGAACUUGUCGAAAACCUUUUGCAACAAGUCGAGCUUUGUAGAUAGUAACAUUACCGUCAGCAUCAGUCUUCUUCUUGAAGAUCCAUUUAUUCUCUAUGGCCUGCCGAUCAUCGGGUAAGUCAACAAAAGUCCAUACUUUGUUCUCAUACAUGGAUCCCAUCUCAGAUUUCAUGGCCUCAAGCCAUUUUGCGGAAUUUGGGCUCAUCAUCGCUUCCUCAUAGUUCGUAGGUUCGUCAUGGUUAAGUAACAUGACUUUCGGAACAGGAUUACCGUACCACUCUGGUGUGGAUCUUACUCUGGUUGACCUAUGAGGUUCAGUAGUAACUUGAUCAGACAUUUCAUGAUUAUCAUCAUUAGCUUCCUCACUUACUAGUGUAGGAAUCACGGGAACCGAUUUUAGUGAUGAACUACUUUCCAAUAAGGGAGAAGGUACAAUUACCUCGUCAAGUUCUACUUUCCUCCCACUCACUUCUUUCGAGAGAAACUCCUUCUCUAGAAAGGAUCCAUUCUUAGCAACAAAUAUCUUGCCUUUGGAUCUGUGAUAGAAGGUGUACCCAAUAGUCUCCUUUAGGCAUCCUAUGAAGACACAUUUCUCCGAUUUGGGUUCGAGCUUAUCAGGUUGAAGCUUUUUCACGCAAGCAUUGCAGCCCCAAACUUUAAGAAACUACAACUUGGGUUUCUUGCCAAACCAUAGUUCAUAAGGUGUCGUCUCGACGGAUUUAGAUGGUGCCCUAUUUAACGUGAAUGCAACCGUCUCUAAAGCAUAAACCCAAAACGAUAGCGGUAAAUCAGUGAGAGACAUCAUACAUCACACCAUAUGUAAUAAAGUGCGGUUACGACAUUCAGACACACCAUUACGUUGUGGUGCUCCAGGUGGCGUGAGUUGUGAAACUAUUCCACAUUGUUUCAAAUGAAGUCCAAACUCAUAACUCAAAUACUCAACUCCACGAUCAGAUCGUAGAAACUUGAUUUUCUUGUUAAGAUGUUUUUCCACUUCACUCUAAAAUUCUUUGAACUUUUCAAAUGUUUCAGACUUAUGUUUCAUCAAGUAGAUAUACCCAUAUCUGCUAAAAUCAUCUGUGAAGGUGAGAAAAUAACGAUAUCCGCCGCGAGCUUCAAUGUUCAUUGGAGCACAUACAUCAGUAUGUAUGAUUUCCAAUAACUCUGUUGCUCGCUCCAUUGUUCUGGAGAACGGAGUUUUAGUCAUCUUGCCCAUGAGGCAUGGUUCGCAAGUACCAAGUGAUUCAUAAUCAAGUGAUUCCAGAAGUCCAUCAGAAUGGAGUUUCUUCAUGCGCUUUACACUAAUAUGACCUAAACGACAGUGCCACAAAUAAGUUGUACUAUCAUUAUCAAUUCUGCAUCUUUUGGCUUCAAUACUAUGAACAUGUGUAUCACUACUAUCAAUAUUUAGUAAAAAUAGACCGCUCAUCAAGGGUGCAUGACCAUAAAAGAUAUUACUCAUAUAAAUAGAACAACCAUUAUUCUCUAAUUUAAAUGAAUAACCGUCUCGCAUUAAACAAGAUCCAGAUAUAAUGUUCAUGCUCAACGCUGGCACCAAAUAACAAUUAUUCAGAUCUAAAACUAAUCUCGAAGGUAGAUGUAGAGGUAGCAUGCUGACGGCGACCACAUCGACUUUGGAACCAUUUCCCACGAGCAUCGUCAGCUCGUCCUUAGCCAAUCUUCGCUUAAUCCGUAGCCCCUGUUUUGAGUUGCAGAUGUUAGCAACUGAACCAGUAUCAAAUACCCAGGCACUACUGCGAGCAUUAGUAAGGUACACAUCAAUAACAUGUAUAUCAAAUAUACCUUUCACUUUGCCAUCCUUCUUCUCCGCCAAAUACUUGGGGCAGUUCCGCUUCCAGUGACCAGUUCCUUUGUAGUAGAAGCACUCAGUCUCAGGCUUAGGUCCAGACUUGGGUUUCUUCACUUGAGUAGCAACUGGCUUGCUGUUCUUUUUGAAGUUCCCCUUCUUCCCUUUACCAUUUUUCUUGAAACUGGUGGUCUUGUCGACCAUCAACACUUGAUGCUCUUUCUUUAUUUCUACCUCCGCAGCCUUUAGCAUUGCGAAGAGCUCAGGAAUUGUCUUAUCCACCCCUUGCACAUUAUAGUUCAUCACGAAGCUCUUGUAGCUUGGUGGCAGUGAUUUAAGAACUCUGUCAGUGACACUAUCAUCAGGAAGAUUAACUCCUAGUUGAGUCAAUGGUUGUGGUACCCAGACAUUCUGAGUAUAUGUUCACUGACAGAACUAUUCUCCUCCAUCUUGCAGCUGUAGAACUUAUUGGAGACUUCAUAUCUCUCAAUCUGGGCAUUUGCUUGAAAUAUUAACUUCAACUCCUGGAACAUCUCAUAUUCUCCAUGGCAUUCAAAACGCCGUUGAAGUCCCGGUUCUAAGCCGUAAAGCAUGGCACACUAAACUAUCGAGUACUCAUCAGCUUUGCUCUGCCAGGUGUUCAUAACAUCUAGCUUUUCUCCUACAGCGGGUUUGUCACCUAGCGGUGCUUCCAGGAUGUAAUUCUUCUGUGCAGCAAUGAGGAUAAUCCUCAAGUUACAGACCUAGUCUGUGUAGUUGCUACCAUCAUAUUUCAACUUAGCUUUCUCUAGGAACGCAUUAAAAUUCAAUGGAACAGCCGCAGAGACCAUCUAUCUACAACAACAUAGACAUGCAAAAUACUAUCAGGUACUAAGUUCAUGAUAAAUUAAAGUUCAAUUAAUCAAAUUACUUAAGAACUCCCACUUAGAUAGACAUUUAUCUAAUCAUCUAAGUGAUCACGUGAUCCAUAUCAACUAAACCAUGUCCGAUCAUCACGUGAGAUGGAGUAGUUUUCAAUGGUGAACAUCACUAUGUUGAUCAUAUCUACUAUAUGAUUCACGCUCGACCUUUCGGUCUCAGUGUUCCGAGACCAUAUCUGCAUAUGCUAGGCUCGUCAAGUUUAACCCGAGUAUUCCACGUGUGCAAAACUAGCUUGCACCUGUUGUAUGUGAACGUAGAGCUCAUCACACCCGAUCAUCACGUGCUGUCUCGGCAUGACGAACUGUAGCAACGAUGCAUGCUCAGGAAGAACACUUAUACCUUGAAAUUUAGUGAGAGAUCAUCUUAUAAUGCUACCGCCGAACUAAGCAAAAUAAGAUGCAUAAAGGAUAAACAUCACAUGCAAUCAAUAUAUGUGAUAUGAUCUGGCCAACAUCAUCUUGUGCCUUUGAUCUCCAUCUCCAAAGCACCGUCAUGAUCACCAUCGUCACCGGCUUGACACGUUGAUCUCCAUCGAAGCAUCAUUGUUGUCUCGCCAACUAUUGCUUCUACGACUAUCGCUACCACUUAGUGCUGAAGUAAAGCAAUUACAUGGCGAUUGCAUUUCAUACAAUAAAGCGACAACCAUAUGGCUCCUGCCAGUUGCCGAUAACUGUGUUACAAAACAUGAUCAUCUCAUACAAUAAAAUUUAGCAUCAUGUCUUGACCAUAUCACAUCACAACAUGCCCUGCCAAAACAAGUUAGACGUCCUCUACUUUGUUGUUGCAAGUUUUAUGUGGCUGCUACGGGCUGAGCAAGAACCGUUCUUACCUACGCAUCAAAAACCACAACGCGGUAUAGUGAUUGCUUUUUGAUCUUCAGAAAGAACCCUGUUCAUUGAAUCCGAUUCAACUAAAGCUGGAGAAACAGACACCCACUAGCCACCUGUGUGCGAAGCAUGUCGGUAGAACCAGUCUCGCGUAAGAGUACGCGUAAUGUCGGUCUAGGCCGCUUCAUCCAAUAAUGCCGCUAAAUCAAGAAUCAACUAGUGACGGCAAGCAAUAUGUAUAUACCCACGCCCACAAAUACUUUGUGUUCUACUUGUGCAUAUAACAUCUACGCGAAAAACUGGCUCUGAUACCACUAUUGGGGAACGCGGUAAUUUCAAAAAAAUUCCUACGCACACGCAAGAUCAUGGUGAUGCAUAGCAACAAGAGGGGAGAGUAUCGUCUAUGUACCCUCGUAGACCGUAAGCAGAAGCGUUAUGACAACGCGGUUAAUGUAGUCGUACGCCUUCACGAUCGACCGAUCUAGUACCAAAGAUACGGCACCUCCGCGAUUUGCAAACAUUCGGCUCGAUGACGUCCUGCGAACUCAUGAUCCAGUAAAGCUUCAAGGGAGAGCUUCGUCAACACGACGGCGUGAUGAUGGUGAUGAUGUUGCUACCGGAACAGGGUUCGCCUAAGCACCGCUAUGAUAUUACCGAGGUGGAUUAUGGUGGAGGGGGGCACCGCACACGGCUAAAGAUCAAUGAUCAACUUGUGUGUCCAUGGGGUGCCCCCCGUAUAUAAAGGAGUGGAGGAGGGGGAGGGGGCCGACCUCUCUAGGCACGCCCCAAGGGAGUCCUACUCCCACCGGGAGUAGGAUUGCCCCUUCCCUUUGUUGGUUCUAGGAGAGAAGGAAGGAGGAGGAAGAAGGAAGGAAAGGGGGGCUUCCCAAUUCGGAUUGGGCUUGGGGGGGCUCCUUUGCUUCUUUUCCCUCUCUUCCACUAAGGCCCAAUAAGGCCCAUAUACCUCCCGGAGGGUUCCGGUAACCUCCGAGUGCUCCGGUAUACUCCCGAUUUCACCCGGAACCAUUUCAAUGUCCAAACAUAGGCUUCCAAUAUAUCGAUCUUUACGUCUCGACCAUUUUGAGACUACUCGUCAUGCCCGUGAUCAAAUCCGGGACUCCAAACUACCUUCGGUACAUCAAAACACAUAAACUCGUAAUACCGAUCGUCACCAAACGUUAAGCGUGCGGACCCUACGGGUUCGAGAACUAUGUAGACAUGACCGAGACAUGUCUCCGGUCAAUAACCAAUAGCAGAACCUGGAUGCUCAUAUUGGUUCCUACAUAUUCUACGAAGAUCUUUAUCGGUCAAACCGCAUAACGAUAUACUUUGUUCCCUUUGUCAUCGGUAUGUUACUUGUCCGAGAUUCGAUUGUCGGUAUCACAAUACCUAGUUCAAUAUUGUUACGGGCAAGUAUCUUUACUUGUUCUGUAAUGCUACAUCCCAUAACUAACUCAUUAGCUACAUUGCUUGCAAGGCUUAUAGUGAUGUACAUUACCGAGAGGGCCCAGAGAUACCUCUCCGACAAUCGGAGUGACAAAUCCUAAUCUUGAUCCAUGCCAACUCAACAAACACCAUUGGAGACACCUGCAGAUCACCUUUAUAAUCACCCAGUUACGUUGUGACAUUUGGUAGGACACAAAGUGUUCCUCCGGUAUUCGGGAGUUGCAUGAUAUCAUAGUGAUAGGAACAUGUAUAGUUAUGGAGAAAGCAAUAGCAACAAACUAAACGAUCUUUGUGCUAAGCUAACGGAUGGGUCAAGUCAAUCACAUCAUUCUCUAAUGAUGUGAUCCCGUUAAUCAAAUGACAACUCAUGUCUAUGGUCAGGAAACAUAACCAUCAUUGAUUCAACGAGCUAGUCAAGUAGAGGCAAACUAGUGACACUCUGUUUGUCUAUGUAUUCACACAUGUACUAAGUUUCCGAUUAAUAGAAUUCUAGCAUGAAUAAUAAACAUUUAUCAUGAUAUAAGGAAGUACAAAUAAAAACU